rnacentral:lncRNA from 1 species
CAUAAAAUCCUACAUAAAACUUGUAGAUCACUGAAUAUGAUAUGUUUGAUUCCUUGCAAUAGUUUUGCGAUAUAAAGAUGGUGAUAUUAGAGUCAUGAUAGUGGGUAGUUGUGGAUUGUAGAAAUACUUGUGUUGAGGUUUGUGAUUCCCGUAGCAUAAACGUAUGGUGAACCGUUAUGUAACGAAGUCGGAGCAUGAUUUAUUUAUUGAUUGUCUUCCUUAUGAGUGGCAGUCGGGGACGAGCGAUGGUCUUUUCCUACCAAUCUAUCCCCCUAGGAGCAUGCAUGUAGUACUUUGUUUCGAUGACUAAUAGAUUUUUGAAAUAAGUAUGUGAGUUCUUUGUGACUAAUGUUGAGUCCAUGGAUUAUACGCACUCUCACCCUUCCACCAUUGCUAGCCUCUCUAGUACUACACAACUUUCGCCGGUACCAUAAACCCACCAUAUACCUUCCUCAAAACAGCCACCAUACCUACCUAUCAUGGCAUUUCCAUAGCCAUUCCGAGAUAUAUUGCCAUGCAACUUUCAUCAUCAUCAUAUACAUGACUGGAGCAUUCAUUGUCAUAUUGCUUUGCAUGAUCGUAAGAUAGCUAGCAUGAUGUUUUCAUGGCUUGUCCGUUUUUUGAUGUCAUUGCUACGCUAGAUCAUUGCACAUCCCGGUACACCGCCAGAGGCAUUCAUAUAGAGUCAUAUCUUUGUUCUAGUAUCGAGUUGUAAUAUUGAGUUGUAAGUAUAUAAAAGUGUGAUGAUCAUCAUUAUUAGAGCAUUGCCCCAGUGAGGAAAGAAUGAUGGAGACUAUGAUUCCCUCAUAAGUCGGGAUGAGACUCUGGAAUUUACAAAAAAAUAAAAGAGGCCAAAGAAGCCCAAAAAAAAGAGGCCAAAGAAGCCCACCAAAAAAGAGAGAAAAAGAGAGAAGGGGCAGUGCUACUAUACCUUUUCCACACUUGUGCUUCAAAGUAGCACCAUGUUCUUCGUAUAGAGAGUCUCUUGAGUUAUCACUUUCAUAUACUAGUGGGAAUUUUCAUUAUAGAACUUGGCUUGUAUAUUCCGAUGAUGGGCUUUCUCAAAUGCCCUAGGUCUUCAUGAGCAAGCAACUUGGAUGCACACCCGCUUAGUUUCAGUUUGAUCUUUCAUACACUUAUAGCUCUAGUGCAUCCGUUGCAUGGCAAUCCCUACUCACUCACAUUGAUAUCUAUUGAUGGGCAUCUCCAUAGCCCGUUGAUACGCCUAUUUGAUGUGAGACUACCUUCUCCUUUUUGUCUUCUCCACCAUCAUAUUCUAUUCCACCUAUAGUGCUAUGUCCAUGGCUCACGCUCAUGUAUUGCGUGAAAGUUGAAAAGGUUUGAGAAUGUCAAAAGUAUGAAACAAUUGAUUGGCUUGUCAUCGGGGUUGUGCAUGAUGUGAGUAUUUUGUGUGGUGAAGAUGGAGCAUAGCCAAACUAUAUGAAUUUGUAGGGAUAACUUUCUUUGGCCUUGUUAUUUUGAAAAGACAUGAUUGCUUUAUUAGUGGGCUUGAAGUAUUAUUGUUUUUAUGUCAAAUGAUAGACUAUUGCUUUGAAUCACUCGUGUCUUAAUAUUCACGCCAUGAUUAGACAUAUGAUCAAGAUUAUGCUAGGUACCAUUCCACAUCAAAAAUUAUCUUUUUUUAUCAUUUACCUACUCGAGGACGAGCAGGAAUUAAGCUUGGGGAUGCUGAUACGUCUCUGUCGUAUCUAUAAUUUUUGAUUGUUCCAUGCCAAUAUUAUUCAACUUUCAUAUACUUUUUGGCAACUUUUUAUAUUAUUUUGGGACUAACAUAUUGAUCCAGCGCCCAGUGCCAGUUCCUGUAUGUUGCAUGUUUUUGGUUUCGCAGAAUACCCAUAUCAAACGGAGUCCAAACGGGAUAAAAAACAGAAGGAGCUUAUUUUUGGAAAAUAUGGAAAAUUCAGAAGGAAAAUCAAUGCGAACCAGUGCCCGAGGUGGUCACGAGGCAGGGGGGCGCCCCCCCUUAGGGCGUGCCCCUACCCUCGUGAGCCCACCGUAAGGCAGUUGACGCUCUUCUUUUGCCGCAAGAAAGCUAAUUUUCGGAGAAAAAAAUCACGGCAAAGGUUUCAGGUCAAUCGGAGUUACGGAUCUCGAUAUAUACAUGAAAUGGUGAAACAGAGCCAGGGAGGAUGCAGAACCAGAGAGAAACGGAGAGAUAGAUCCAAUCUCGGAGGGGCUGUCGCCCCUCCCACUCCAUGGGAGCCAAGGACCAGAGGGGAAACCCUUCUCCCAUAUAGGGAGGAGGUCAUGGAAGAAGAAGAAGGGGGUCCCUCUCCCCCUUGCUUCCGGUGGCGCCGGAGCGCUGCCGGGGCCAUCAUCAUCACCGCCAUCUUCACCAACAACUUCACCGCCAUCAUCACCAACUCUUCCCCCUCUCUAUGCAGCGGUGUAACCUCUCUCUUACCCGCUGUAAUCUCUACUUAAACAUGGUGCUCAACGCUAUAUAUUAUUUCCCAAUGAUGUAUGGCUAUCCUAUGAUGUUUGAGUAGAUCUGUUUUGUCGUAAUGGCUAUUUGAUGAUCGUGAUUGGUUUGAGUUGUAUGUUUUAUUAUUGGUGCUGUCCUAUGGUGCUCUCCGUGUCACGCAAGCGUGAGGGAUUCUCGUUGUAGGGUUUGCAAUAUGCUUAUGAUUUGCUUAUGGUGGGUGGCGUGAGUGACAGAAGCACAGACUAGAGUAAGUAGGUUGUUUGCGUAUGGGAUAAAGGGGACUUGAUACUUUAAUGCUAUGGUUGGGUUUUACCUUAAUGAAUCUUUAGUAGUUGUGGAUGCUUGCUAGAGUUCCAAUCAUAAGUGCAUAUGAUCCAAGUAGAGAAAGUAUGUUAGCUUAUGCCUCUCCCUCAAAUAAAAUUGCAAUAAUGAUUACCGGUCUAGUUAUGGAUUGCCUAGGGACAAAUAACUUUCUUGUUGACAAAAGCUCUCUACUAAAACUAAUUUAUUUGUGUCUUUAUCUAAACAGCCCCUAGCUUUUAUUUUUGUGUUCUUUACUUUCUUGCAAGCUUACCCGAAAACACCUACAAAGUACUUCUAGUUUCAUACUUGUUCUAGGUAAAGCGAACGUCAAGCGUGCGUAGAGUUGUAUCGGUGGUCGAUAGAACUUGAGGGAAUAUUUGUUCUACCUUUAGCUCCUCGUUGGGUUCGACACUCUUACUUAUCGAAAGGGGCUACAAUUGACCCCCUAUACUUGUGGGUUAUCAAUUAAUGAUGUUCUUAUUGUUGCAAAUAGGAAUUAUGUACCCAUAGAUUUUAUUGUUCUUGACAUAGAUUGCAAUCCUUCAUUUUCUAUUAUUCUUGGUAGACCUUUCCUUAGAACAAUUGGUGCAAUUAUUGAUAUGAAGGAAGGAAAUAUUAGAUUCCAAUUUCCGUUAAGGAAAGGCAUGGAACACUUUCCUAGAAAGAAAAUUAAAUUACCUUAUGAAUCUAUUAUGAGAGCCACUUAUGGAUUGCCUACCAAAGAUGGCAAUACCUAGAUCUAUCCUUGCUUUUUAUGCCUAGCUAGGGGCGUUAAACGAUAGCGCUUGUUGGGAGGCAACCCAAUUUUAUUUUUAUUCCUUGCUUUUUGCUCCUGUUUAGUAUAAAUAAUUUAUCUAGCCUCCGUUUAGGUUGUGUUUUUGGGUUUAAUUAGUGUUUGUGCCAAGUAGAACCGUUGGGAAGACAUGGGGAAAGUCCUGAUAUCUUGCUGUAAAAAAUAGAAACUUUAGCGCUCACGAGAACUGCUGCCGUUUUUAUUUGUAAGGUGCUAUUUAGAUAAUUAUUUUUUAAGAUGAUUAAUAGAUAAAUUCCUCACGUCCAGAAAUUUAUUUUAGUAUUUUUGGGGUUCCAGAUCUUUCGCUAGCUACAGAUUACUACAGACUGUUCUGUUUUUGACAGAUUCUGUUUUUCGUAUGUUGUUUGCUUAUUUUGAUGAAUCUAUGACUAGUAAAAUAGCUUAUAAACCAUAUAGAAGUUGUAAUAAAGUAGGUUUAACACCAAUGUAAAUAAAGAAUGAGUUCAUUACAGUAAAUUGAAGUGGUCUUUUUGUUUCUUUCGCUAACGGAGCUCACGAGAUUUUCUACUUUAAGUUUUGUGUUGUGAAGUUUUCAAGUUUUGGGUAAAGAUUUGAUGGAUUAUGGAACAAGGAGUGGUAAGAGCCUAAGAUUGGGGAUGCCCAUGGCACCCCCAAGAUAAUCUAAGGACACCUAAAAGCCAAAGCUUGGGGAUGCCCCGGAAGGCAUCCCCUCUUUUCGUCUACUUCUAUCGGUAACUUUACUUGGAGCUAUAUUUUUAUUCACCACAUGAUAUGUGUUUUGCUUGGAGCGUCUUGUAUGAUUUGAGUCUUUGCUUUUUAGUUUACGACAAUCAUCCUUGUUGAACACACCUUUUGAGAGAUCCAUACAUGAUUUGGAAUUUGUAAGAAUACUCUAUGUACUUCGCUUAUAUCAUUUGAGUUAUAUAGUUUUGCUCUAGUACUUCACUUAUAUAUUUUAGAGCACGGUGGUGGAUUUAUUUUAUAGAAACUAUUGAUCUCUCAUGCUUCACUUAGAUUAUUUUGAGAGUCUUAAAUAGCAUGGUAAUUUGCUUAAAUAAUCCUAAUAUCCUAGGUGUUCAAGAUUAGUAAAAAAAUUCUUAUGAGUGUUUUGAAUACUAAGAGAAGUUUGAUGCUUGAUGAUUGUUUUGAGAUAUGGAGGUAAUAAUAUCAAAGUCGUGCUAGUUGAGUAGUUGUGAAUUUGAGAAAUGCUUGUGUUGAAGUUUGCAAGUCCUGUAGCAUACACGUAUGGUAAACGUUAUGUAACAAAUAUGAAACAUGAGGUGUUAUUUGAUUGUCUUCCUUAUGAGUGGCGGUCGGGGACGAGCGAUGGUCUUUUCCUACCAAUCUAUCCCCCUAGGAGCAUGCGCGUAGUGCUUGGUUUUUGAUGACUUGUAGACUUUUGCAAUAAGUAUGUGAGUUCUUUAUGACUAAUGUUGAGUCCAUGGAUUAUACGCACUCUCACCCUUCCAUCAUUGCUAGCCUCUUAGGUACCGUGCAUUGCCCUUUCUCACAUAGAGAGUUGGUGCAAACUUCACUGGUGCAUCCAAACCCCGUGAUAUGAUACGCUCUUUCACACAUAAACCUCCUUAUAUCUUCCUCAAAACAGCCACCAUACCUACCUAUUAUGGCAUUUCCAUAGCCAUUCCGAGAUAUAUUGCCAUGCAACUUUCCACCAUUCCAUUUAUCAUGACACAUUCAUCAUUGCCAUAUUGCUUAGCAUGAUCAUGUAGUUGACAUAGUAUUUGUGGCAAAGCCACUGUUCAUAAUUCUUUCAUACAUGUCACUCUUGGUUCAUUGCAUAUCCCGGUAGACCGCCGGAGGCAUUCAUAUAGAGUCAUAUCUUGUUCUAAGUAUCGAGUUGUAAUUUUUGAGUUGUAAGUAAAUAGAAGUGUGAUGACCAUCAUUCAUAGAGCAUUGUCCUAAAAAAGGGAGGCUAAAAAAGAAAGAAAGGCCAAAUAAAAAAAUAAAAAAAUAAAGAAGGGACAAUGCUACUAUCCUUUUUCCACACUUGUGCUUCAUAGUAGCACCAUAAUCUUCAUGAUAGAGAGUCUUUUAUUUUGUCACUUUCAUAUACUAGUGGGAAUUUUUCAUUAUAGAACUUGGCUUGUAUAUUCCAACAAUGGGCUUCCUCAAGUGCCCUAGGUCUUCGUGAGCAAGCAAGUUGGAUGCACACCCACUUAGUUUCUUUUGUUGAGCUUUCAUACAUUUAUAGCUCUAGUGCAUCCGUUGCAUGGCAAUCCCUACUCCUUGUAUCGACAUCAAUCGGUGGGCAUCUCCAUAGCCCAUUGAUUAGCCUCGUUGAUGUGAGACUUUCUCCUUUUUAUCUUCUCCACAUAACCCCCCUCAUUAUAUUCUAUUCCACCCAUAGUGCUAUGUCCAUGGCUCGCGCUCAUACAUUGCGUGAAAGUUUAUAGGUUUGAGAUUACUAAAGUAUGAAACAAUUGCUUGGCUUGUCAUCGGGGUUGUGCAUGAUGAGAGCAUUCUUGUGUGACGAAAAUGGAGCAUGACUAAACUAUAUGAUUUUGUAGGGAUGAACUUUCUUUGGCCAUGUUAUUUUGAGAGGACAUAAUUGCUUAGUUAGUAUGCUUGAAGUAUUAUUCUUUUUAUGUCAAUAUGAACUUUUAUCUUGAAUCUUUCGGAUCUGAAUAUUCGUACCACAAUUAAGAAGAAUUACAUUAAAAUUAUGCCAAGUAGCACUCCGCAUCAAAAAUUCUGUUUUUAUCAUUUACCUACUCGAGGACGAGCAUGAAUUAAGCUUGGGGAUGCUUGAUACGUCUCCAACAUAUCUAUAAUUUUUUAUUGCUCCAUGCUAUAUUAUCUACUGUUUUGGACAUUAUUGGGCUUUAUUAUCCACUUUUAUAUUAUUUUGGGGACUAACCUAUUAGCCGGAGGCCCAGCCCAGAAUUGCUGUUUUUUUGCCUAUUUUAGGGUUUCGAAGAAAAUGAAUAUCAAACGGAGUCCAAACGGAAUGAAACCUUAGGGAACGUGAUUUUCUCACCGAAAAUGAUCCAGGAGACUUCGACCCUACGUCAAGAAACAAAGGAGGAGGCCACGAGGUAGGGGGGGCGCGCCUACCCCCCAGGCGCGCCCUCCACCCUUGUGGGCCCCCUGUUACUCCACCGAUGUACUCCUUCCUCCUAUAUAUACCUACGUACCCCCAAACGAUCAGAUACGGAGCCAAAACCCUAAUUCCACCGACGCAACUUUCUGUAUCCAUGAGAUCCCAUCUUGGGGCCUGUUCUGGAGCUCCGCCGGAGGGGGUAUCUAUCACGGAGGGCUUCUACAUCAUCACCAUAGCCCCUCCGAUGAAGUGUGAGUAGUUCACCUUAGACCUACGGGUCCAUAGUUAUUAGCUAGAUGGCUUCUUCUCUCUUUUUGGAUCUCAAUACAAUGUUCUCCCCCUCUCUUGUGGAGAACUAUUCGAUGUAAUCUUCUUUUUGCGGUGUGUUUGUUGAGACCGAUGAAUUGUGGGUUUAUGAUCAAGUCUAUCUAUGAACAAUAUUUGAAUCUUCUCUAAAUUCUUUUAUGUAUGAUUGGUUAUCUUUGCAAGUCUCUUCGAAUUAUCAGUUUGGUUUUGCCUACUAGAUUGAUCUUUCUUGCAAUGGAGAAGUGCUUAGCUUUGGGUUCAGUCUUGCGGUGUCCUUUCCGAGUGACAGUAGGGGCAGGAAGGCACGUAUUGUAUUAUUGCCAUCGAGGAUAACAAGAUGGGGUUUUCAUCAUAUUGCAUGAGUUUAUCCCUCUACAUCAUGUCAUCUUGCUUAAGGCGUUACUCUGUUUUCACGAACUUAAUACUCUAGAUGCAUGCUGGAUAGCGGUCGAUGAGUGGAGUAAUAGUAGUAGAUGUAGGCAGGAGUCGGUCUACUUCUCUCAGACGCGAUGCCUGUAUACAUGAUCAUACCUAGAUAUUCUCAUAACUAUGCUCAAUUCUGUCAAUUGCUCAACAGUAAUUCGUUCACCCACCGUAAAAUACUUAUGCUCUUGAGAGAAGCCACUAGUGAAACCUAUGCCCCCCGGGUCUAUCUUCAUGAUAUUAAUCUUCCAAUACUUAGUUAUUUCCUUUGCUUUUUUACUUUGCUUUCAUUUUACUUUGCAUCUUUAUCAUAAAAAUACCAAAAAUAUUAUCUUAUCACAUCUAUCAGAUCUCACUCUCGUAAGUGGCCGUGUAGGGAUUGACAACCCCUUAUCGCGUUGGUUGCGAGGAUUUAUUUUUUUUGUGCAGGUGCGAGGGACUUGGGCGUAGCCUCCUACUGGAUUGAUACCUUGGUUCUCAAAAACUGAGGGAAAUACUUACACUACUUUACUGCAUCAUCCCUUCCUCUUCGGGGAAAACCAACGCAGUGCUCAAGAGGUAGCAGCCAACAAGGGUACCUCCCUACCUCCCACUUGGCUGCAAAUUUGACAUGCACUCUCUCCCUAACAAUGAUCAUAAUGCAGUAUAUAUCUUUCUCUAUACUCCUCUCUACUUACUCAUGGCCUGCCAUCUGUAUUCAUUCUCUUUUCAGCUACCUUUUUCACGCUUCCUUUGCCAUCUCAACUGUGCUUACAAGGCUUCCUUACCCCCCAUCUCCCCACCACUUAAUAUUUUGCUUUUGCAAGCUCACUGGCCUAACCAUUCGUGCUCGAUGCCUCGAUGGGAGUGGGAGGUAUUGAGACAUGAAAACAAAGACACAUCAUAGUGUGCUGAUACCCUUCAAUUAGCAUUACUAUCCUUUUCUUGGAUUUCUCAUAAGAAACUGGUUAGAUGGAAUAAGCUCCCAAUUUGGCUCGAACUGAGAAGGAAAAUAUGGCCAACACUUGCAGACUCCUUUUUUUGAGAAAGACAUUGCUUCUGACACUAAAACAACUACAUCUAAAUUGUAGGUGCACAUACGAUUUUUGCUCAUUAACAUGUAUCCUUCGGUGUGACCAUUUGACCGGUAAGACAACAUUUCAGUUAUAGCAGCUUUUGUUAGUGUGUAGAGCAUAUACAACCGGAUCCCUCAUAUCCUCCCUAAACGUCCGGGCAGACAGCCCGGUCAUUGCCUGGACAGGAGAGAGAAACAAAAAGGCACCCAACCAGACCUCUCAUGUUGUCCUCAUAUGGUGGGCUGUCCACAAAUCCCUAAAUCCUGCCAUAUAUGGUGAGGAUAUGGGGAUGUUCGCCCGUGUCCGGUCAUUCCUCCACAUAGGAUGUGGCUCACUCCAGACCACCUUUUCUCUCUCUUUUCAUCCCAUCAAUCAGAUGCAUGUGACCGGACAAUUCGUGGACAAAGUAGGGGACAUGGUUACAUGCAUACACAAAUGGGGGCUUGGAUGGAUAUAUGUAUGGACAUAGGGCGGGUGCGUCCACAGACGUUUGAGAAUCCAAAUUUGCUCAUUAUGAUUGUAGGUGUCCUUAUGUCGUGCAACAAUACACAUUUGAAGACUUGUCGUGUGAGCACAUAUGAACGUGCACACUCAGGCCCGUCAAUGAGGAUGCGUGAGCUAUGCAGUUGCGCAGGGUUCCCCAAUAUUGAGGGAUCAUACCCAAGCGACAACAAGCCAUUGAACAAAUCCAUUCCCCCUCCCCUGUCGCGGCGCUCCCGUGAGCGCCCCGAGGGGAACCCUAAAUCGCUGCCCCCUCCUCCCCAUCCUCUGCCCUCCUCCCUCGCCGCUGCCCAGCAGGGCUGCCGGGCGAAGCCCGGCCGGCUGGGGUGGUGGCGGGGCCUUCUUCUCCCCUCCGCCCGUGGUCCAUGGCCAGCGCAGGACGACUUCGCGUGCGGGGGCGCUGGCCUAUGGCGGGUGCGAGCGGCCACUACUAGGAAAAGGCUAAUUAGUGGUGCACCUGUUUUGGCCAUCAAUGGCGCACUACAGGUGCGCCACUAUCAUCACGCCACUAGUAACUAAUACUAAUGGCGCAUCCCUGGUGCGCCAUUAGUAUACCAGACAAUAGUGGCGCACUAGGGAGUGCACCAUUAGUAUGUCAAACGGUGCGCCAUUACUAUGCCUCCCAGGGGGCCAUAUUUACCUUGUGCUCUGGGUUACUAAUGGCGCACUUCUAUGUAGUGCGCCACUAGUGUGUUUAUUGCAGUGUGCCACUAAAGUGUAGUGUGGUGCGCCACUAGUAUGAAUAUUAGCAUUUUUUUCUUUUCUGAUAUUUGCACAUGUUACAAAAUAUAUUACUGCACAGAAUAUAGAGAGCACAACAUAUAAACAUCAGAUUCAUCGAAUACAAUAGAAGAUUAGUCUCCGAAUACAAUUCAUCAUAUUAGUCUUCGAGUUCAAAAGACCGAACAAAGUUAGAACAUUACAAGUCUCGAGACCGCGAAUAGCGAGUUUGUCUUCACAUUACAAGUCGAUAUCGAUCAUCUAAACUACCAUCACAUAGAAGAGAGCUGCGGUCAUCACGAUGAGCAUCAUCGCGAUGAAACUGGUCUUCAUCCAGUUCCUCCUCCGCUCCCUCCUCUCUCCUGCUAGAUAGCGCGCGUAUCUAGUUUCCGCCUCUGCACUAGUGGUGUACCCUUUGUAACUGUUACCGCUGAAACGGUGAACCUGUCUCUGACACUCCUCCCAGUCGUCGUAGACUCCGGGAACCUUACCCUUGUACACGACAUACGACGGCAUCUCUAUGCACUAGCCAAACAAAACGUUAGUAGCAAUUCACAGACAAUACAUAGGCAAUAUAUAAGUAUGCAACAAAAGGAUCGGAAGAGAAAAGCAAGACAUUAAUAGCACGAUUCAUGGUCCUACUAAUAAAUAGCAUCGAUUACAUAUAAGUUGAACGACUGUCCAAACCAAAGAGACAUACAAGUUCAUUAAAGUUUAAUUACAACAUGAGCUAAUCGAUAUUUCAGAACAACACAUAGCAUCACUACUUUCGACUCGACUCAGGGACCGGAGCGUGGAUGAAGCCGCCGUCUAUCGUGAUGGUCAUGAAAUCGCGGGCGUUGUCAGCCUGCAUUUGUAGCGUUGUUUCUAUCUCAUUGUUGGACGGUUGAUAUCUGAGGUAGAACUACCCCGAGGUACAAAGGAAAUCUUGAUGGAUGAUUUCCGCAAACUCCGAUUGGAUGUGAACGAAUUCUUGUCUGAUGUCCGCGUCCUAGAUUGCGGCAAACUUGCGGCCCAAUCUUGGAGAUUAUUUGGUAGCAGAAGGUGAUUAUGGUCCCGUAUAAUCACCCGCAUGUGAUGGAGGCCAUAGUAGGCAUCCUUCUGACCGCCAGGCGGCUGCUUGACGCAGGGGAACAUCGUAUUAUGGGUGAACACAUGCUUGCCGUACCUACGAAUUGGCCCGCUGAAGGUGCCUCCAGAUCUGGCGUAGCCGAGGAGAACAUCAUCAAGAACUUUCUUGAUAUUUGUGUAGUCUUUCUUUGACUGACGGUCUGAGUCGAAAUACAUGGCCAUGGAAUAUUUUGGGCCUAAGAGGAUGAGUGUGCAAUGUGUGUCACUGCACAAAACACGGAAUGUUAGAAAAGAAAGAGCGAUCGAAAUCUAAGAAGUCAUAUGUUACGGGAUGGUGAGGGGAUGACUUACUCGGGAAAGUAAGGCACGAGGAAGUUAUCCUUAUCUGGGUUUGCCAGAAUGACGCCUGCAAGGUAUGAACUCGCGACUUGCUGGUCCCCAGCGCUGCCCAAGAUCUUGGAACGCAUGUAGAAGGGGUCGACUAUCACGAUGUCUGGGGUCUUGUCUCUAAUGAUCCGCAUCUCCAUACUCAGUGAAAAUAACCGAACGAAGGUGUAGUGCAGCGGAUGAAGGUUAAACAUAGCGAAGAUUUCAUCAAACCGCAGGACGAUCAUACCCCCGAUGGCGCUAUCCACAAAGCCCUUCCCUCUGGCACCUUGGCCACGAAAACUGGGUAUGCCACAUCAUUCUCUCGGAGACGCCGCUUCUCCAAAGAAAGAACACUGUCAUGCAGACUCCGCAUAGCACCGGUUGCAGCAUUGAGCAGAUUAGUCGGUAGCAUCGGCCUACCCACCACAUGCACCCUCCUCGAGAUAUCCUUAGGUGAAGGUGGCCCGUCCUGAGCACGGAUCGUACUCGGUGCCGGCUAGCUCGCACCCUUGUUACUCUUUCUUUUCCGUCCCUUCUUCUCCUGCUGUAAUGGCAUCGAGUUCUUCUCACAGACAGCCUUCUUGAGUGUGUUGGGGCUGAUAAUAUUUCGCACCUCGGCUAUCUGAGGCUCGGUGAAGGCGGCAGCUGGAGGCGUCUCCUCAGAACUGAACGCCAAACGAUGCGUGUUGCAACUGGGUUUCUCCGCGGUACCAGCUAGAUCGUCUUUUGCAGGGUUGGGUUCUUGAGAAGGAGGCCCCAAGAAUUCGUCACCGUACCCAUGUUCGUUGAAGUACUUAUCGAUGUUGGUAAAUGUACCAUCGUUGUCGUCAUCAUCGUCCGGGUCCUGUGCCAUAUCCAUGUCCGGCAUGGCCGGUAGCGUUGCAGGGGUCUUGCCAUGGCUUGGCGCCAGCACGACUGGCGGUGUUAUCUAUGGGGUGGUGUCCCCCGCCCCCAAACGAAUCUGGCUCUUCGGCCAAAGCAUGGGCUAGCUUAUGCAAGCGCUGAGGGUCAUCACAUCAUCUUCGUCGGCCCCAUGGGGUCGAUACGGAGGUAACAUGUCGUCGAAGCCCGGUAGCACCCGAACCAGUUGAAACCUAUAAACGGUGGGUGGAAUCUGAAUACCGUGGAACACGCCUCUGCCCUGUUGAACGAUUCUGCCUUUGGCGACAUCGACCAACUCAUCGCUCACGAAGUGCAGGAGAGUGCACGGAAUGUCGGCGGCGCCCUGCGAAAACAUGUAAGGCGUCAGGGAUGCCCAGUCAAAGGCAAGGAGAUGAAGUCAUCGGCCGAGAGGCUUAAUUAGUUACCGUGAAGGCAUCGAGCUCGGCUAAUGUCGAGGCACCGCCAACGGCGGGCGUGCAAGUGACGGAGGGGCUGCUUGCUGCCGAGGUGCCGGCCGGCGUAUUCUUCCCACACCCGGGUGUAUUAAGUUGCAAUGCCGGUGCCGCCACGGGAGACACCAAUGCCGCCUCCGCCGGAGACACCAAUGGUGUCGUCGGCGUGCUGCGCGAGUUGCUGCCCGUGAAGCUGGGAAUCGGGGAUGGCCCCUGUUGGCCGCCCGCAAUCCACGCCUGCAGCCCAGAAACCAAGGUACGCAUAAUGGUGGUGAUCGUCGCUCCCAAUUGGUCUCGCACUUGCUCUUCGACGAUCUCCGGAAUCUGCGCCACUUGUGCCUUGAGUUGUUGAACCUCGCGCUCCUGGCUUUCCGAGCUGGUCUUUCUCUCCUUUCGCCCAGCGGUAUACUACUCCGACCAUUUCGUGGACAAGCCUUUGACGGCCACACAACCAGCUGACGACGGCUUACUGAGCUUAUCCUUGUUUUUCAUUACGUUCAACGCCCUAUUUAAAGGGGUGUCGAAAGGGGAGCUCUGAGAUGACCCCGCACUACUGCUUUCAGUGUCCUGUGGAAGGAACAUGAACCAUUUAGAAAAUUGGCUUCAUUAAUUAUAAUGCAACCAUAUGGAGCUAAUUAUGCGGGGGUGUAUUCCUUACCAAAACAUGCUCAAGCGCCUUGGUCUUCCGAUCCGUGGUAAGCUCCUUGGUUACUGAUGUCUACUACACAACCUUCUUCUUGUAGACAUUGUUGGGCCUCCAAGUGCAGAGGUUUGUAGGACAGUAGCAAAUUUCCCUCAAGUGAAUGACCUAAGGUUUAUCAAUCCGUAGGAGGCGUAGGAUGAAGAUGGUCUCUCUCAAGCAACCCUGCAACCAAAUAACAAAGAGUCUCUUGUGUCCCCAACACACCCAAUACAAUGGUAAAUUGUAUAGGUGCACUAGUUCGGCGAAGAGAUGGUGAUACAAGUGGUAUAUGGAUGGUAGAUAAAGGUUUUUGUAAUCUGAAAAUAUAAAAACAGCAAGGUAACUAAUGAUAAAAGUGAGCACAAAUGGUAUUGCAAUGCGUUGAAACAAGGCCUAGGGUUCAUACUUUCACUAGUGCAAGUUUCCUCAAUAAUAAUAACAUAAUUGGAUCACAUAACUAUCCCUCAACAUGCAACGAAGAGUCACUCCAAAGUCACUAAUAGCGGAGAACGAACGAAGAGAUUAUGGUAGGGUACGAAACCACCUCAAAGUUAUUAUUUCCACUCAAUCCGUUGGGCUAAUCCUCUAAGUGUCAUAAACAGACCUAGAGUUCGUACUAGAAUAACACCUUAAGACACAAAUCAACCAAAACCCUAAUGUCACCUAGAUACUCCAAUGUCACCUCAAGUAUCCGUGCGUAUGAUUAUACGAUAUGCAUCACACAAUCUCAGAUUCAUCUAUUCAACCAACACAUAAACCUCAAAGAGUGCCCCAAAGUUUAUACUGGAGAAUCACGACGAAAAUGUGUGCCAACCCCUAUGCAUAGGUUCAUGGGUGGAACCCGCAAGUUGAUCACCAAAACAUACAUCAAGUGAAUCACGUGAUAUCCCAUUGUCACCAUAGAUACGCACGGCAAGAAAUACAUCAAGUGUUCUCAAAUCUUCAAAGACUCAAUCCGAUAAGAUAACUUCAAAGGGAAAACUCAAUCCAUUACAAGAGAGUAGAGGGGGGAGAAAACAUCAUAAGAUCCAACUAUAAUAGCAAAGCUCUCGAUACAUCAAGAUCAUAUCACCUCAAUAACACGAGAGAGAGAGAGAGGGAGAGAGAGAGAGAGAGAGAGAGAGAGAGAGAUCAAACACAUAGCUACUGGUACAUACCCUCAGCCCCGAGGGACAACUACUCCCUCCUCGUCAUGGAGAGCACUGGGAUGAUGAAGAUGGCCACCGAAGAGGGAUUGCCCCCUCUGGCAGGGUGCCGGAACGGGUCUAGAUUGGUUUUCGGUGGCUACGGAGGCUUCUGGCGGCGGAACUCCCAAUCUAUUGUGCUCUCAGAUGUUUUUAGGGUAUAUGGAGAUAUAUAGGCGGAAGAAAUAUGUCAGGGGGGCCACGAGGGGCCCACGAGGGUGGAGGGCGUGCCCCUGCCUUGUGGCUUUCUCAUAGAUCCCCUGACAUGCACUCCAAGUCUUCUGGGCUUCUUCUGAUCCAAAAAUAAGUUCCUGAAGUUUCAGGUCAAUUGGACUCCGUUUGAUUUUCCUUUUCUGCGAUACUCUAAAGCAAGGAAAAAACAAAAACUAGCACUGGGCUCGGUGUUAAUAGGUUAGUCCCAAAAAUUAUAUAAAAGUGUAUAAUAAAACCCAUAAACAUCCAAAACAGAAGAUAAUAUAGCAUGGAGCAAUAAAAAAUUAUAGAUACGUUGGAGACAUAUCAGCAUCCCCAAGCUUAAUUCAUGCUCGUCCUCGAGUAGGUAAAUGAUAAAAACAGAAUUUUUGAUGCGGAGUGCUACUUGGCAUAAUUUCAAUGUAAUUCUUCUUAAUUGUGGCAUGAAUAUUCAGAUCUGUAAGAUUCAAGAUAAAAGUUCAUAUUGACAUAAAAAUAAUAAUACUUCAAGCAUACUAACUAAGCAAUUAUGUCUUCUCAAAAUAACAUGGCCAAGAAAGUUCUCCCUACAAAAUCAUAUAGUUUAGUCAUGCUCCAUUUUCGUCACACAAGAAUGCUCUCAUCAUGCACAACCCCGAUGACAAGCCAAGCAAUUGUUUCAUACUUUAGUAAUCUCAAACCUAUAAACUUUCACGCAAUGUAUGAGCGCGAGCCAUGGACAUAGCACUAUGGGUGGAAUAGAAUAUAAUGAGGGGGGUUAUGCGGAGAAGACAAAAAGGAGAAAGUCUCACAUCAACGAGGCUAAUCAAUGGGCUAUGGAGAUGCCCACCGAUUGAUGUUGAUGCAAGGAGUAGGGAUUGCCAUGCAACGGAUGCACUAGAGCUAUAAAUGUAUGAAAGCUCAACAAAAGAAACUAAGUGGGUGUGCAUCCAACUUGCUUGCUCACGAAGACGUAGGGCACUUGAGGAGGCCCAUUGUUGGAAUAUACAAGCCAAGUUCUAUAGUGAAAAUUCCCACUAGUAUAUGAAAGUGACAAAACAAGAGACUCUCUAUCAUGAAGAUUAUGGUGCUACUUUGAAGCACAAGUGUGGCAAAGGAUAGUAGCAUUGUCCCUUAUCUCUUUUUCUCUCUUUUUAUUUUUUUUAUUUUUUUUAUUUGGGCCUUUUCCUUUUUUAUGGCCUUUCUCUUUUUUUGGGCCUUCUCUUUUUUAUGGCCUUUCUCCCCCCUUUUUUAUUCCUCACUUGGGACAAUGCCCUAGAAAAUGAUGAUCAUCACACUUCUAUUUAUUUACAACUCAAUGAUUACAACUCGAUACUAGAACAAAGUAUGACUCUAUAUGAAUGCCUCCGACGGUGUACCGGGAUAUGCAAUGAACCAAGAAUGAAAUGUAUGAAAUAAUUAUGAACGGUGGCUUUGCCACAAAUACUAUGUGAACUACAUGAUCAUGCUAAGCAAUAUGGCAAUGAUGAACGUGUCAUGAUAAACGGAAUGGUGGAAAGUUGCAUGGCAAUAUAUCUCGGAAUGGCUAUGGAAAUGCCAUAAUAGGUAGGUAUGGUGGCUGUUUUGAGGAAGAUAUAAGGAGGUUUAUGUGUGAAAGAGCGUAUCAUAUCACGGGGUUUGGAUGCACCGGCGAAGUUUGCACCAACUCUCAAUGUGAGAAAGGGCAAUGCACGGUACCGAAGAGGCUAGAAAUGAUGGAAGGGUGAGAGUGCGUAUAAUCCAUGGACUCAAUGUUAGUCAUAAAGAACUCACAUACUUAUUGCAAAAAUCUACAAGUCAUCAGAAACCUCGGCACUACGCGCAUGCUCCUAGGGGGAUAGAUUGGUACGAAAAGACCAUCGCUCGUCCCCGACCGCCACUCAUAAGGAGGACAAUCAAAUAACACCUCAUGUUUCAAAUUUGUUACAUAACGUUUACCAUACGUGCAUGCUACGGGACUUGCAAACUUCAACACACGCAUUUCUCAAAUUCACAACUACUCAACUAGCACGACUUUGAUAUUAUUACCUCCAUAUCUCAAAAUAAUCAUCAAGCAUCAAACUUCUCUUAGUAUUCAAUACUCUAAAUGAAAGUUUUUACUAUUCUUGAAUACCUAGCAUAUUAGGAUUUUUUAAGAAAAUUACCAUGCUAUUUAAGACUCUCAAAAUAAUCUAAGGAAGCAUGAGAGAUCAAUAGUUUCUAUAAAACAAAUCCACCACCGUGCUCUAAAAGAUAUAAGUGAAGUAUUAGAGCAAAUGACAAACUACUCCGAAAGAUAUAAAUGAAGAUCAAUGAGUAGUCGAAUAAUUAUGCAACUAUGUGAAGACUCUCUAACAUCUAAUAAUUUCAGAUCUUGGUAUUUUAUUCAAACAGCUAGCAAAACAAAUGAAAAUGGCAUUCUAAGAAUGGCAAAUAUCAUGUGAAGAAGCAAAAACUUAGGAUCAACCGAAACUAACCGGUAGUUGUUGAAGAAGAAAGGUGGGAUGCCAACCGGGGCAUCCACAAGCUUGAGCUUUUGUGUCUCCUUAAUUCCUCUCAUAUCACGGUCUCCCUAAAUCUCAAAAGCUUCAUCCACACAAAACUCAACAAGGACUCGUGAGAUAAGUUAGUAUAAACCAUUGCAAAAACCUUAUCAUACUCUACUGUAGCAAAUCACUAAAAUUAUUAUUCAACAUUGCAUACUAAAUGUCUCUGCAUAUUUAAUAGUCCUAUACUCAAAUAGAAUCAUUAAAGAAGCAAACAUAUGCAAACAUAACAGCAAUCUGCCUAAACAGGACAGUCUGUAAAGAAUGCAGCAACAUCCAUACUUCCCUAGCUCCAAAAAUUAUGAAAGAAAAUUCCCACUGUAGUAAAUUUAUCAGAUCUUAAUAUGCAAAAGGUUUCAACAUUUUAUCACAUUCUGAAUUUUCUAGGGAAUUAUUGCAACAGCGGUAAACUUUCUGUUUUCAAACAGCAACAUGUGGAAUUCUAAAAUAGGCAUAGUAAAGGCUAUCAAUGCCACUUUUGUUGAAAUAAAAGAUGCAAAACAUUGUUCUAAAUGACAGCAAGCAACUCUUAACAAAAUAAACUGAUGCUCCAAGCAAAACACAUAUCAUGUGGUGAAUAAAAAUAUAGCACCAAGUAAAGUUACCGAUGAACGAAGACGAAAGAGGGGAUGCCUUCCGGGGCAUCCCCAAGCUUAGGCUCUUGCUAUCCUUGAAUAUUACCUUGGGGUGCCUUGGGCACCCCCAAGCUUAGGCUCUUUCCACUCCUUAUUCCAUAGUCCAUCGAAUCCUUACCCAAAACUUGAAAACUUCACAACACAAAACUUAACAGAAAACUCGUAAGCUCCGUUAAUAUAAGAAAAUAAAUCACAACUUCAAGGUACUGUAAUGAACUCAUUCUUAAUUUAUAUUGGUGUUAAACCUACUGUAUUCCAACUUCUCUAUGGUUUAUAAACUCUUUUACUAGCCAUAGAUUCAUCAAAAUAAGUAAACAACACAUGAAAAACAGAAUCUGUCAAAAACAGAAUAGUCUGUAGUAAUCUGGAUCAAACGUAUACUUCUAGAACUCAUAAAAUUCUCAAAUAAAUUGGUGGACCUUAUUAGUUUUUCUACUAAUCAUCUGCAAAAAGAAAUAACUAAAUAGCACUUUCCAAAUAAAAAUGGCAGCAAUUCUCGUGAGCGCUAAAGUUUCUGUUUUUUACAGCAUGAUCAACAAGAUUUUCCCCAAGUCUUCCCAAAGGUUCUACUGGGCACAAACACUAAUUAAACACAUACAAACUCAAUCAUAACAUAGGCUAGAUGAAUUAUUUAUUACUAAACAGGAACAAAAAGCAAGGAACAAAAAUAAAAUUGGGUUGCCUCCCAACAAGCGCUAUCGUUUAACGCCCCUAGCUAGGCAUGAUGAUUUCAACGCUGCUCACAUAAGAGAUAAGAAUUGUAACAUAAAGAGAGCAUCAUGAAGAAUAUGACUAGCACAUUUAAGUCUAACCCACUUCCUAUGCGUAGGGAUUUUGUGAGCAAACAACUUAUGGGAACAAUAAUCAACUAGCAUAGGAGGGCAAAACAAGCAUAACUUCAAAACUUUAAGCACAUAGAGAGGAAACUUGAUAUUAUUGCAAUUCCUACAAGCAUAUGUUCCUCCCUGUCGGUGUCAAAACCGGCGGAUCUCGGGUAGGGGGUCCCGAACUAUGCGUCUAGGCCGGAUGGUAACAGGAGACAAGGGACAUGAAGUUUUACCCAGGUUCGGGCCCUCUUGAUGGAGGUAAAACUCUACGUCCUGCUUGAUUAAUAUUGAUGAUAUGGGUGUUACGAGAGUAGAUCUACCACGAGAUCAGAGAGGCUAAACCCUAGAAGCUAGACUACGGUAUGAUUGUAUGUUGUGAUUGUUGUCCUACGGACUAAAACCCUUCGGUUUAUAUAGACACCGGAGAGGGUUUGGGUUACACAAGGUCGGUUACAAAGGAGGAGAUAUCCAUAUACGUAUUGCCUAGCUUGCCUUCCACGCCAAGUAGAGUCCCAUUCGGACACGAGACGAAGUCUUCAUUCUUUGUAUCUUCAUAAUCUAACAGUCCGGCCAAUGGAGAUAGUCCGGCUAUCCAGAGACCCCCUAAUCCAGGACUCCCACAGUAGUCCCUGAACCAGGCUUCAAUGACGAUGAGUCCAGCGCGUAGUAUUGUCUUCGGCAUUGCAAGGCGGGUUCCCUCUCUGAAUACAUGACAAAAGAAGUUGAAUACGAGGAUAGUGUCCGACCCUGCAAAAUAAAUUCCACAUUCCAUCGUAGAGAGAAUAAUGUUUUCGCAGAUCUAAUCCGCUAGCUUGUUUUGGCAACAUGACGUUACGUCAUGGCCCGGUGAUUAUUCGAACCGUUUCUUUUAACCAGCCCCGCACAUAACGCGAGGCAGUUUUUCGACACGUCUUGUCAAAGCAGAGAUCAUGUCCCCUUAUUACGGGAUUCUCAUCAAUACAGGUGUGGGUAACCCAACCGCGCCAUUAAUUAUGGCGCUUGGGGAUAAGCGAGUUUUACCAGGUAAGUGGGGACGCUUAGUUUUGUCCGCCCAUAUAAAGGGAUAAGGAUUCACCUUUCUAUCCACGCCUUCUUCCUCCUCUGCUCAUCCGCUCCCGCACACUCGAGCUCUAGCGCCCAAGUCCUCACUUCCGUCUCAACCUUCUCCAACCAUGUACGGAGCGGGAGGCAAGUGGAUGGUCUCCUCCGUCACGGAGGGAGAUGUCAAGAAACUAAGGAGAGCCGGAUACCUGCCCGACGACAUCGCACACCGGCUCCCAGAUGAGGGACAGCUCAUCCCCAUCCCCGAGCCCCAUGAGAGGGUGGUAUUCCUCACCCAAUUCCUCCGUGGACUGGGAUUCCCUCUCCAUCCCUUUGUCCGGGGGCUCAUGUUCUAUUACGACCUGGAUUUCCACGAUCUGGCGCCGAACUUCAUCCUCAACAUCUCGGCGUUUAUCAUCGUGAGCGAGGCCUUCCUCCGCAUCAAGCCCCACUUCGGCUUAUGGCUGAAGACCUUCAAUGUCAAGCCGAAGGUAGUGAGCGGCCGCCAGGCGGAGUGUGGAGGCGCCAUGGUGGGCAAGAUGCCCAACAUCACAUGGCUCGAGGGCACCUUCGUGGAUACCAUAAAGGGGUGGCAAUCGGGGUGGUUCUAUAUCACCGAGCCGCGUGACCCCGCAUGGGUAGCGGCCCCCGAGUUCCGAUCUGGCAUCCCCAUGCGGCUCACCUCCUGGAAAGAGAAGGGCCUGUCCUGGGGUAAUUCAAAAGAGCUGACCGGACUCCAGUCAUGUAUUCAGAACAUGGUGGACAAGAAGCUAUAGCUUGUCAACAUAGUCCAGGUUAUGCUCGUCCGCCGGAUACUCCCGUGCCAACAAUGGGAGUUUAACUUGUGGGAGUUCAAUCCGGCGCAGCAUCGAACUCUGAACAGGCUCUUCGAUAUGACUCAUGAAGAUGCCUGGAGGGUGCUGUUCAAGAGCGCCGAGGUCCCUCCCCCCAUUACCGAGGAUCGCGGAUUCAGCGGGAAGCGCGACACCAGUGCGGUAAGUUGUUUUAUCUUUUAUAGGAUACUUGUUUUCUAUAUAGAUUGACUCUAUGCGGGAUCUAAACUCUCGUAAUUUUGUCAGGACUGGCAGAAGAUGGCCAGACAGAUCAACUGUCCAGCUCCCUUGCCCGAAGGCCCCGCAGACGCUCUUCUGACGAAGAUGUUGACCCCGGCCCCUUAUAAGGUGCCGGAGAAGACCAAGAAGGCCAAGGGAGCUCGUAAGAGUUCUCGACGCCAGGCGUCAUUGGACUCACCGCCCGAUGACUCUGCCGCGCACUCUUCCCCCGAAGACGAGGAAGAGGAAGAAGAGGCUCCCCCGUCGAUUGGGGGAGACAAGAAAAGGAAGGCCGCCCCAACUGGGGAGGCCGGAGGGUCCAAGAAGGGAAGGACGCUCCUUCUGGACAGCUCCACCGCCGCCGACGAAAGUGAAGAUGAGUGGUUUCCCAGGGCCAAGCCCCAGGGGAGAUCGUAAGUAUUCAGAUACCAAAGUAACCCAUACGAUUCCUUUGUCGCAUUGCUUUCCCUAAUGCCGAACUCAAUUGUGCAGGCCGACCCGAGCCAAUAUCGAGGUAUCCUCGGACGGCUCCCUGGGCUCGUCGGACAUGGAUAGCGAUCCUGUCCUGACCGCCACCUCCCCUCAUCCAGCCGACAACGCCGAGGUGCUGUAUUAAGAGGCACCGGAUCGAGGGGGGACAGUCCCAGAGGCGCCUCAAGGCGACCUUCCGGACUCCGGGAACCGAGGGGACGGGGUCCCCGAGAGCUCCGAGUUCGGCCCUCAGCCGAACACCGCGCUGGACCCUCCAAUGGUUCCGAGCUCGGGCAGGCGGUCCCCUUCUAAGGGGGUGAGACUCCUGUGCCGGUGAACUCUGUCCAUCCAAAGGCGCCGGACACUAUGUUGGAAGCACUUCGCAGCGCUUCCAUCGAGGAGGAGCACCGCACUAUCAUGAGUGCGGUGAUCCAGAAGGUUCAGUCCGCCAAGAGCGGAUUGACUGAAGCCUGUACUAGCCUUGUAGCAGGCUUCGAGGUAAGUGUUUAAUAUGUAGUAGAAAUAUUACCGCAUAGACAGCAGCCCCUGAUGCUUUGUUCGGUGUUCACAAAGAAAAUCCGAUCAGAGGAUCAAAUAAUAUCUCAGGAGUCUAAUAUAAGUAUGUCAAUAUGCAUAUGCAGGCUUCGCUGCUGGCGUCCGCCGCACUAACUGCGGAGGUCGCCGUACUGAAGGAGGCCCUCGAGGGGUCCCAGAAAGAGCUCGGCCUUGCUAAGAGGCAGCUCGAGGAGAACAAGGGUAAGUAAUACCCCGUCUGUAGAUGAGGAAAAGGACGCAAUUGCUAAAUGACAGGAUCAUUGUAUGUUUGGCAGGGGCCACGACCGAGGUGGCGACCCUGAAGCAAGCGCUGUCCCAGGCCGAAGAAAAGGCAGCCCGGGAGCUCACCGAGCGAGAGAGGCACGAGGCUCGGGUGGGCGAGGUGCAGCAAGAGCUGCAGCCUCUCAUGACGAAGCACGAGGCGUUGGAGCUUGACUUGAAGACGCGAGAGUCUAAGCUUGCCGCGGCCCGUGAGAGCGCGAAGAGUGCCAAGGCCAAGGCCCAGAAGGCCCUUCAGGAGAUCGACGCGAUAAAGAAGAUAGCGGCGGGUAAGGCUUUCUAUAUGCAAAGCAAGCAUGUAAAUGUAAAUUAUCGAUUACUUACCCGGAUCCGGACCUCUUCAGGACCAUUCGCAGAUUUGCCCCGCAGUUUGUCCGAUGCCGCACAAUUUUACCAGGCCGAGGACGAUAGCUCGAUGGAGAAGCUGUUCUGGUCUCAGUAUGCUGAGGCCGAACAUCCAGUGCCGAUGGGCGACCAGCUGAAGCAGAUGGCCGAGCUACAUAAGGCGGCCGAUCAGGCCAUGAAGGGCUUCAUUGUCCGGUUGUGGCCUGGCGAUGCCCUUCCGAAUAGCUUCUUUGGCCUGGUGAGGGGGCUUGUGGAUGCCUACCCACGGCUGGAGGUCGUCAAGCGAUCCGUCUGCAUUGAAGGUGCACGUCGGGCCUUCGCCCGUGUAAAAAUGCAGUGGGUCAAGCUAGACGCCGUGAACCUGAUCAAGGAGGGGCCGCCGGAGGGCAAGGAGCACCGCCACCCCGAGAUGUACUACGAGGGUGUUCUGCCGGGUGCCCGUCUUAUCGCGGAUGAGUGUUCGCAAAAUGUAAUAUUUGAAUGAGACUUGCUCGUUUUGUCCUCUAUGUAUGAAAACUUGUAUCGUAUUCGCUAUGCAACGCUUGUGUGAAUUUAAAAUAUUACCUUCUGUUUGGCUGUUUAUCCAAUCUGAGAGAUGGCUAGUCCUCGGCUUCUGCCCCCAUGCCACGAGUGCUGGGGUGUUCAGGAUAAACCUGAGCACUCUUGUUCCCAUGUUUGGGUCCUUCGAGGGAGGUGCUCAGCACAACGAACAAGGCAACCGGACUAAUAAUGCUUUAUCACUCUCACUUAGCCAUAGAAUUCUAUAAUUUUAAAUUUUGGUGAAGCCCCUGGUAUUUGGAAGGCCGAAUUCGGGGCGCGAUACACGCCUGUAAGCCGGACGGAGCCGGCCCCUCUCCCUAAGUGGCAUAAGUCUUUAGGGACUCGAAAAACCUCGCCGAACAGCGACCAGUCUCUCGCCUUGUCAUGACAGUCAGUUUUAGCUUUCUCUACUGAGGUGCUCGGCUCGGCAGAACCGGGGCACAAUCGCAGUAGUUCUCCUAGCGCUACCUUAGCCGAUAGAGCGGAAUGUAAGGUACCAAAACAUAGGAGCCAGGCAAACCCAACAUUUGACCAAAGACAUGAUUCGGAGCUGAUGCAUAUAAUGCUAUAAGUUCGGGGUGCCGCACUUGUGAAAGUAUUCGGACUUUUCACACCAUAUUGUGCGGACGUAAGCCCCUGGUGCAUUGGCUGUACCAGAGUGUACGGUUGCUAGGCAUCAUUAAUGAACACAUAGAUAUGUAUAUAUAUAACAAAAAUGUGAUAAUAGUCGUAAUGUUAUGUAUUGUAUAUUAAAAAAUUGCAUUAAAGCAGAGUGAUACAGAUAGUAUAAUAAGCAAAAGAGUAGGACUAUGUCCCUUCCAAGGGCGGGCUGAGGAAUUAUAUGAACUCUGUAAUCCACCUGGGAAUUCCGUAGUUGUCCACUACUAGGAAAAGGGCUAUAGAUGGAAUUGACACUAAUGGCGCACCAGACAUGUGGUGCGCCAUUACUAUAUACUAAUGGCGCACCAUGUGUUGGUGCGCCAUUAGUGUCCAAAUACUAAUGGCGCACCACAUCCACGGUGCGCCAUUAGUAAAAAAAAUUAAAACUUUUUUCAAAACUACUAAUGGCGCACCGUGGGAGUGGUGCGCCAUUACUAGACUAGUAAUGGCGCACCACUCCCACGGUGCGCCAUUAGUAACUUGGCCACCACUUCCAUCGAAUGCACCCCCCCUGUGGAUCGCCUUUUCAGUUUAAAUAAAAAAUAAAAGAAAAUAUGUUUCCCAUGUGAUAUGUGGUCUAGUUGUUGUGAAAAUUUACAAAUAUGAAUUUCGACUUUAUUUGCGAAAUCUCUCGAGAAUUUGUAAAAUGGGCAUAACUUUUGUGUAUGAACUCGGAUGAAAAAGUUUUAUAUAUGAAAAAUCAUCUACUCGAAAAGUUACAUCCAAAUUUAAAAGGGGGAACCCCGUUAAAUUUUUUCAAAAUCCUCAAAUACCUAACAGAAAAAAAGAUACGGGGCUUUUAAGAUAUGGAGAGGCAAAAAAUUCAAAAAAAUAAUUCAAACUUACUAAUGGCGCACCUACCCAUGGUGCGCCAUUACUAUCUUCCCGCCUUCAAAUUUCAAAAUAAGUCAAAAAAUAAAAAAAAAGUUACUAAUGGCGCACCUGCCCAUGGUGCGCCAUUAGUAUCUUCCCGCCUUCAAAAUUCAAAAUAAAUCAAAAAAAUAAAAAAAGUUAGUAAUGGUGCACCUACCCGCGGUGCGCCAUUACUAUGUCGUAUAUAUGGCUGGGCGUGGCCCUCUCCUCCUUACCUCUUCAUUCUUCUCCUCCACUCCACCUCUCCUCCACUUCAUCUCCUCCACUCCUCCACUCCAUCUUCCCUUCUCUCCUCCACCAUACUACCCUCCUCCUCUCCGGCGACCUCCUCCUUCCUCCUCCUCCCUCCUCUCCUCCCCUCACGGUUUCUCCUCCCUCCUCUCCGGUGAACUCCUCCUCCCUCCUCUCCGGUGAGGNNNNNNNNNNNNNNNNNNNNNNNNNNNNNNNNNNNNNNNNNNNNNNNNNNNNNNNNNNNNNNNNNNNNNNNNNNNNNNNNNNNNNNNNNNNNNNNNNNNNNNNNNNNNNNNNNNNNNNNNNNNNNNNNNNNNNNNNNNNNNNNNNNNNNNNNNNNNNNNNNNNNNNNNNNNNNNNNNNNNNNNNNNNNNNNNNNNNNNNNNNNNNNNNNNNNNNNNNNNNNNNNNNNNNNNNNNNNNNNNNNNNNNNNNNNNNNNNNNNNNNNNNNCUCUCCUCCCAUCCCCUCAUGGUUUCUCCUUCCUCCUCUCCGAUGCUCCGGUCAACUCCUCUCCGGCGACCUCCUCCUCCUCCUCUCCGGCGAUGUAGGCGAGCGCCUCUCCGGUGACCUCCUCCUCCUCCUCUCCGGCGAACUCCUCUCCGGCAAAAUAACACUACAAAAGAACGUACAAGAUCCAAAAAUAGGAACAAAAUUUGAAAUAAUAUCGUGCCAAAAAACGAGCAAAAAAGAGCAAAAAAUGGGCAAAAAAAUCACGACCCAGAUCCAAAUUCAAAAUUCAAAAAUAGCAAUGGCGCUGUCGGACAGUGUUUCUAGAGAUUGAAGUCCUGAAAGAAAAAGAAAAAUAACCAAACUGGAAGCCCCUGGUGAGGUUUAGGCCGCGUUUUGGGGCGUGCCGUAGUUGUGCCCCCCUCUCCACCUGUGCCCAUGGUAUUUUUAAUGCGUAAUUAUGUACGCGCAGCACGAACAACGCCGUUGGGCUGGGAUUGGGGUGGCCGCCAUAUUGCUACGCGAGCUCAGAUCGCGCCAGGCGGUCUGUUUGCCGAUUGCCCUGAGCGCGCUUGAAGGUGUCCUGGCUUUGAAACGCCAAACUGGUAGAUUGUCUUGAGAGGCUGCUUUGCGCUUCUGCUGCGAGGGCUGCGGUGUGCUCCUCUGUUCGGAGAGAGCGCUCUGUGUUUCCAUUGACUGUAAUAACUCCGCGAGGUCCUGGCAUCUUGAGCUUGAGGUAUUCAUAAUGUGGUACCGCAUUGAAUCUAGCAAAUGUGGUUCUUCCGAGCAGCGCGCGAUAACCACUGCAGAACGGGACUAUAUCGAAGAUUAACUCUUCGCUUCGGAAGUUAUCCGGGGAUCCGAAGACCACUUCCAGUGUAAUUGAGCCUGUGCAGUGGGCCUCUACGCCUGGAAUGACGCCCUUAAAGGUCGUCUUUGUGGGUUUGAUCCUUGAGGGGUCUAUACCCAUUUUGCGCACUGUGUCCUAAUAAAGCAGGUUCAGGCUGACGCCGCCGUCCAUAAGGACUCGAGUGAGGUGAAAUCCGUCGAUGAUUGGGUCUAGGACCAGUGCGGCGAAUCCGCCGUGAUGGAUACUAGUGGGGUGGUCCCUGCGAUCGAAGGUGAUCGGAUAGGAGGACCAAGGGUUGAACUUUGGGGUGACUGGCUCCAACGCAUAUACGUCCCUGGGCGCACGCUUCUGCUCCCUCUUGGGGAUGUGGGUUGCGUAUAUCAUGUUCACCGUCCGCACUUGCUGGGGAAACCUCUUCUGUCCUCCAGUGUGCGGCUGCCGGUGUUCUUCCUCGUCAUCGCUAUGCGGCCCCUUGUCCUUGUUUUCAACAAUUAACUUGCCGGCCUGCUUGAACACCCAACAAUCCCUGUUGGUGUGAUUGUCUGGCUUGUCUAGGGUGUCGUGUAUUUGACACGAGCGAUCGAGUAUACGGUCCAAGCUGGACGGACCCGGCAUACUUUGUUUGAAUGGCUUUUUCCGCUGACCGGGUUUAGAGCCUUUGAAUCCGGCAUUGAUUGCCGUAUCCUCAGUACUUUUGCCGUUAAUGCGGCGCUUAUGCUUGUUGCGACGUGACCUGCUAUUGCCGUCCUUGGUAUCUGAGGUACCAUGGUUCUUUGAUAUGUUAUUACUGCAAGCCAACCAGCUGUCUUCUCCCGCACAAAAGCGGGUCAUGAGCGUCGUGAGGGCUGCCAUGGAUUUUGGCUUUUCCUGACCAAGGUGCCGGGCUAGCCACUCGUCUCGGAUGUUGUGCUUGAAAGCCGCUAAGGCCUCCGCAUCCGGACAGUCGAUGAUUUGAUUUUUCUUUGUAAGGAACCGAGUCCAGAAUUUCCUGGCUGACUCUUAUGGCUGCUGAAUUAUGUGGCUCAAGUCAUCGGCGUCUGGUGGUUGCACAUAAGUGCCCUGAAAGUUGUCGAGGAAUGCGGCUUCCAGAUCUUCCCAACAGCUAAUGGAGUCCGCUGGCAAGCUAUUAAGCCAAUGUCGCGCUGGUCCUUUGAGUUUUAGUGGGAGGUAUUUGAUGGCAUGUAAGUCAUCACCGCGGGCCAUGUGGAUGUGAAGGAGGAAGUCCUCAAUCCAUACUGCGGGAUCUGUUGUGCCGUCGUAUGAUUCAAUGCUUACAGGUUUGAAACCUUCUGGGAAUUGAUGUUCCAUUACUUCAUCUGUGAAGCAUAAGGGGUGUGCGGCGCCUCUGUAUUGGGCUAUAUCGCGACGCAUUUAGGAUGGGUCCUGCCCGCUGUGUUCAGCACAGCCGGAUUUGCUUUUACUGUAUCCGGCGUGACGUUUAUCGUCUCGUAGAGUGGUGCGCCUUCGUGAUCCGUAGAUCGAUCUUGAAUGCUUUGCUUUGUCCUCCAAUAUGUCUCGCAGGUCUGGCGUAUCUCCCCAUGCCUUUUUAUUUGAAUGGCGUUGGGGUGGAGGCUGAGCUUUUGGCUGGAAUGCCACUCUAUCGCGGCCACGGGGUGGCCGAUCAGCUGUUUCGUAUGCUUCUUCCUCCAGUCGGGGAAGCAACCUGCGCCUUGGAUAACUCUUGGAGGGACGCUCGAGUUUAUAUUGCUCGGUCAUGAGGACUUCACUCCAUUUGUCAGCUAGCAGAUCUUGGUCAGCUUGAAGCUGCUGCUGCUUUUUCUUCAGGCUAUUUGCCGUGGCCAUAAGCCUGCGCUUGAAGCGCUCUUGUUCCACGGGAUCCUCUGGUACGGCGAAUUCAUCGUCGCCGAGGCUUGCCUCGUCUUCGGAGGGGGGCAUGUAAUUGUCAUCCUCCUCCACUCCGCCAGCCGCUCUCUCAGGAGAGCUGGCUCCUUCAUCCUCCUGCUCUUGCUGGAGGGGAUUGUUGUUGUCUUCGACGCUAUCCGGAGUGUUAUUAUCUCCUGUGCCGGUAUCACCACUUUUGCUUUGGCGGGACUUAGAGCGGCGCCGCUGAUGUCGGCGCUUGGGUUGCUUCUUGGAGGGGUCGUCCUCCGUUAUCUCGUCGCCGUUGCCUUCAUUGGGUGUAUCCACCAUGUAUAUGUCAUACGACGAGGUGGCUGUCCAGUGCCCUGUAGGUGCUGGUGUUGGGGAACAUAGUAAUUUCAAAAAAUUUCCUACGCACACGCAAGAUCAUGGUGAUGCAUAGCAACGAGAGGGGAGAGUGUUGUCCACGUACCCUCGUAGACCGAAAGCGGAAGCGUUAUAACAACGCGGUUGAUGUAGUCGUACGUCUUCAGGGCCCGACCGAUCAAGCACCAAAACUAUGACACCUCCGAGUUUUAGCACACGUUCAGCUCGAUGAUGAUCCCCGGACUCCGAUCCAGCAAAGUGCCGGGGAAGAGUUCCGUCAGCACGACGGCGUGGUGACGAUCUUGAUGUUCUACCGUCGCAGGGCUUCGCCUAAGCACCGCUACAAUAAUAUCGAGGAUUAUGGUGGAGGGGGGCACCGCACACGGCUAAGAGAUCUCAUGGAUCAAUUGUUGUGUCUAGAGGUGCCCCCUGCCACCGUAUAUAAAGGAGCAAGGGGGAGGGGCAGCCGGCCAUGAUGAGGCGCGCCAGGGAGGAGUCCUACUCCUACCGGGAGUAGGACUCCCUCCUUUCAUUGUCCAAGUAGGAGAGGGGGAAGGAAGGGAGAGAGGAGAGGAAGGAAAGGGGGGCGCCGCCCCUCCCUCCUUGUCCAAUUCGGACUAGGGGAGAGGGGGCGCGCGCCUGCCCUGGCUGCCCCUCCUCUUCUCCACUUUAGGCCCAUGAGGCCCAUUAACCCCCCGGGGGGUUCCGGUAACCCCCCGGUACUCCGGUUUUAUUCGAAACUUCACCGGAACACUUCCGGUGUCCGAAUAUAGUCGUCCAAUAUAUCAAUCUUUAUGUCUCGACCAUUUUGGGACUCCUCGUCAUGUCCCCGAUCUCAUCCGGGACUCCGAACUCCUUUGGUACAUCAAAACAUAUAAACUCAUAAUGAAACUGUCAUUGAAACCUUAAGCGUGCGGACCCUACGGGUUUGAGAAUAAUGUAGACAUGACCGAGACACGUCUCCGGUCAAUAACCAAUAGCGGAACCUGGAUGCUCAUAUUGGCUCCCACAUAUUCUACGAAGAUCUUUAUCGGUCAGACAGCAUAACAACAUACGUUGUUCCCUUUGUCAUCGGUAUGUUACUUGCCCGAGAUUCGAUCGUCGGUAUCUCAAUACCUAGUUCAAUCUCGUUACCGUCAAGUCUCUUUACUCGUUCCGUAAUACAUCAUCUCGCAACUAACUCAUUAGUUGCAAUGCUUGCAAGGCUUAUGUGAUGUGCAUUACCGAGAGGGCCCAGAGAUAUCUCUCCGACAAUCGGAGUGACAAAUCCUAAUCUCGAAAUACGCCAACCCAACAUGUACCUUUGGAGACACCUGUAGAACUCCUUUAUAAUCACCCAGUUACGCUGUGACGUUUGGUAGCACACAAAGUGUUCCUACGGCAAACGGGAGUUGCAUAAUCUCAUAGUCAUAGGAACAUGUAUAAGUCAUGAAGAAAGCAAUAGCAACAUACUAAACGAUCGGGUGCUAAGCUAAUGGAAUGGGUCAUGUCAAUCACAUCAUUCUCCUAAUAAUGUGAUCCCGUUAAUCAAAUGAGAACACAUGUCUAUGGUUAGGAAACAUAACCAUCUUUGAUUAAUGAGCUAGUCAAGUAGAGGCAUGCUAGUGACGUUUAGUUUGUCUAUGUAUUCACACAAGUAUUAUGUUUCCGGAUAAUACAAUUCUAGCAUGAAUAAUAAACAUUUAUCAUGAUAUAAGGAAAUAAAAUAGUAACAUUAUUAUUGCCUCUAGGGCAUAUUUCCUUCAGUCUCCCACUUGCACUAGAGUCAAUAAUCUAGAUUACAUAGUAAUGAUUCUAACACCCAUGGAGCUUUGGUGCUGAUCAUGUUUUGCUCGUGGAAGAGGCUUAGUCAAUGGGCCUGCAACAUUCAGAUCCGUAUGUAUCUUGCAAAUCUCUAUGUCUCCCACCUGGACUAGAUCCCGGAUGGAAUUGAAGCAUCUCUUGAUGUGCUUGGUUCUCUUGUGAAAUCUGGAUUCCUUUGCCAAGGCAAUUGCACUAGUAUUGUCACAAAAGAUUUUCAUUGGACCCGAUGCACUAGGUAUGACACCUAGAUCAGAUAUGAACUCCUUCAUCCAGACUCCUUUGUUUGCUGCAUCCGAAGCAGCUAUGUACUCCGCUUCACAUGUAGAUCCCGCCGCAACGCUUUGUUUAGAACUGCACCAACUGACAGCUCCACCGUUUAAUGUAAACACGUAUCCGGUUUGCGAUUUAGAAUCGUCCGGAUCAGUGUCACAGCUUGCAUCAACGUAACCAUUUACAAUGAGCUCUUUGUCACCUCCAUAUACAAGAAACAUAUCCUUAGUCCUUUUCAGGUAUUUCAGGAUGUUCUUGACCGCUGUCCAGUGAUCCACUCCUGGAUUACUUUGGUACCUCCCUGCUAGACUUAUAGCAAGACACACAUCAGGUCUGGUACACAACAUUGCAUACAUGAUAGAGCCUAUGGCUGAAGCAUAGGGAACAUCUUUCAUUUUCUCUCUAUCUUCUGCAUUGGUCGGGCAUUGAGUCUUACUCAAUUUCACACCUUGUAACACAGGCAAGAAUCCUUUCUUCGCUUGGUCCAUUUUGAACUUCUUCAAAACUUUGUCAAGGUAUGUGCUUUGUGAAAGUCCAAUUAAGCGUCUUGAUCUAUCUCGAUAGAUCUUAAUGCCCAAUAUGUAAGCAGCUUCACCGAGGUCUUUCAUUGAAAAACUCUUAUUCAAGUAUCCCUUUAUGCUAUCCAGAAAUUCUAUAUCAUUUCCGAUUAGUAAUAUGUCAUCUACAUAUAAUACCAGAAAUGCUACAGAGCUCCCACUCACUUUCAUGUAAAUACAGGCUUCUCCAAAAGUCUGUACAAAACCAAAUGCUUUGAUCACACUAUCAAAGCGUUUAUUCCAACUCCGAGAGGCUUGCACCAGUCCAUAAAUGGAUCUCUGGAGCUUGCACACUUUGUUAGCUCCCUUUGGAUCGACAAAACCUUCUGGCUGCAUCAUAUACAACUCUUCUUCCAGAAAUCCAUUCAGGAAUGCAGUUUUUACAUCCAUCUUCCAAAUUUCAUAAUCAUAAAAUGCGGCAAUUGCUAACAUGAUUCAGACAGACUUAAGCAUCGCUACGGGUGAGAAGGUCUCAUCGUAGUCAAUUCCUUGAACUUGUCGAAAACCUUUUGCGACAAGUCGAGCUUUGUAGACAGUAAUAUUACCAUCAGCGUCAGUCUUCUUCUUGAAGAUCCAUUUGUUCUCAAUUGCUUGCCGAUCAUUGGGAAAGUCAACCAAAGUCCAUACUUUGUUCUCAUACAUGGAUCCCAUCUCAGAUUUCAUGGCUUCAAGCCAUUUUGCGGAAUCUGGGCUCACCAUCGCUUCUUCAUAGUUCGUAGGUUCAUCAUGAUCUAGUAGCAUGACUUCCAGAACAGGAUUACUGUACCACUCUGGUGCGGAUCUUACUCUGGUUGAUCUACAAGGUUCGGUAGUAACUUGUUCUGAAGUUUCAUGAUCAUUAUCAUUAGCUUCCUCACUAAUUGGUGUAGGUGUUACAGAAACCGGUUUCUGCGAUGUACUACUUUCCAAUAAGGGAGCAGGUAUAGUUACUCAUCAAGUUCUACUUUCCUCCCACUCACUUCUUUCGAGAGAAACUCCUUCUCUAGAAAGGAUCCAUUCUUAGCGACAAAUGUCUUGCCUUCGGAUCUGUGAUAGAAGGUGUACCCAACAGUCUCCUUUGGGUAUCCUAUGAAGACACAUUUCUCCGAUUUGGGUUCGAGCUUAUCAGGUUGAAGUUUUUUCACAUAAGCAUCGCAGCCCCAAACUUUCAGAAACGACAAUUUUGGUUUCUUGCCAAACCACAGUUCAUAAGGCGUCGUCUCAAUGGAUUUUGAUGGUGCCCUAUUUAACGUGAAUGUGGCCGUCUCUAAAGCAUAACCCCAAAAUUAUAGCGGUAAAUCUGUAAGAGACAUCAUAGAUCGCACCAUAUCAAGUAAAGUACGAUUACGACGUUCGGACACACCAUUACGCUGUGGUGUUCCGGGUGGCGUGAGUUGCAAAACUAUUCCGCAUUGUUUCAAAUGUAGACCAAACUUGUAACUCAAAUAUUCUCCUCCACGAUCAGAUCAUAGAAACUUUAUUUUCUUGUUACGAUGAUUUUCAACUUCACUCUGAAAUUCUUUGAACUUUUCAUAUGUUUCAGACUUAUGUUUCAUUAAGUAGAUAUACCCAUAUCUUCUUAAAUCAUCUGUGAAGAUGAGAAAAUAACGAUAUCCGCCACGAGCUUCAACAUUCAUUGGACCACACACAUCUGUAUUUAUGAUUUCCAACAAAUCUGUUGCUCUCUCCAUAGUACCGGAGAACGGUGUUUUAUUCAUCUUGCCCAUCCUUCUUAUCCGCCAAAUACUUUGGGCAGUUCCGCUUCCAGUGACCAGUCUGCUUGCAGUAGAAGCACUCAGUUUCAGGCUUAGGUCCAGAUUUGGGUUUCUUCUCUUGAGCAGCAACUUGCUUGCUGUUCUUCUUGAAGUUCCCCUUCUUCUUCCCUUUGCCCUUUUUCUUGAAACCAGUGGUCUUGUUAACCAUCAACACUUGAUGCUCCUUCUUGAUUUCUACCUCCGCAACUUUCAGCAUUGCGAAGAGCUUGGGAAUAGUUUUAUUCAUCCCUUGCAUAUUAUAGUUCAUCACGAAGCUAGGUGGCAGUGAUUGGAGAAUUCUGUCAAUGACGCAAUCAUCUGGAAGAUUAACUCCCAAUUGAAUCAAGUGAUUAUUAUACCCAGACAUUUUGAGUAUAUGCUCACUGACAGAACUGUUCUCCUCCAUCUUGCAGCUAUAGAACUUAUUGGAGACUUCAUAUCUCUCAAUCUGGGCAUUUGCUUGAAAUAUUAACUUCAACUCCUGGAACAUCUCAUAUGCUCCAUGACGUUCAAAACGUCGUUGAAGUCCCGAUUCUAAGCCGUAAAGCAUGGCACACUAAACUAUCGACUAGUCAUCAGCUUUGCUCUGCCAGACGUUCAUAACAUCUGGUGUUGCUCCAGCAGCAGGCCUGGCACCCAACGGUGCUUCCAGGACGUAAUUCUUCUGUGCAGCAAUGAGAAUAAUCCUCAAGUUACGGACCCAAUCCGUGUAAUUGCUACCAUCAUCUUUCAACUUUGCUUUCUCAAGGAACGCAUUAAAAUUCAAUGGAACAAUAGCACGGGCCAUCUAUCUACAAUCAAACAUAAACACGCAAGAUACUAUCAGGUACUAAGUUCAUGAUAAAUUUAAGUUCAAUUAAUCAUAUUACUUAAGAACUCCCACUUAGAAAGACAUCCCUCUAAUCUUCUAAGUGAUUACGUGAUCCAAAUCAACUAAACCAUAACCGAUCAUCACGUGAAAUGGAGUAGUUUUCAAUGGUGACCAUUGCUAUGUUGAUCAUAUCUACUAUAUGAUUCACGCUCGACCUUUCGGUUCAGUGUUCUGAGGCCAUAUCUGUAUAUGCUAGGCUCGUCAAGUUUAACCUGAGUAUUCUGCAUGUGCAAAAACUGGCUUGCACCCGUUGUAGAUGGACGUAGAGCUUACCACACCCGAUCAUCACGUGGUGUCUGGGCACGACGAACUUUGGCAAUGGUGCAUACUCAUGGAGAACACUUUUAUCUUGAAAUUUAGUGAGAGAUCAUCUUAUAAUGCUACCAUCAAUCAAAGAAAGAUAAGAUGCAUAAAAUAUAAACAUCACAUGCAAUCAAUAUAAGUGAUAUGAUAUGGCCAUCAUCAUCUUGUACUUGUGAUCUCCAUCUCCGAAGUACCGUCAUGAUCACCAUCGUCACCGGCGCGACACCUUGAUCUCCAUCGUAGCAUCGUUGUCGUCUCGCCAAUCUUAUGCUUCCACGACUAUCGCUACCGCAUAAUGAUAAAGUAAAGCAUUAUAGCGCAGUUGCAUUGCAUACAAUAAAGCGACAACCAUAUGGCUCCUGCCAAUAACUCGGUUACAAAACAUGAUCAUAUCAUACAAGAAAAUUUAGCAUCAUGUCUUGACCAUAUCACAUCACAACAUGCCCUGCAAAAACAAGUUAGGCGUCCUCUACUUUGUUUGUUGCAAGUUUUACGUGGCUACUACGGGCUUAAGCAAGAACCAAUCUUACCUACGCAUCAAAACCACAACGAUAGUUUGUCAAGUUAGUGCUAUUUUAACCUUCGCAAGGACCGGGCGUAGCCAUACUCGGUUCAACUAAAGUUGGAGAAACUGACACCCGCCAGCCACCUGUGUGCAAAGCACGUCGGUAGAACCAGUCUCGCGUAAGCGUACGCGUAAUGUCGGUCCGGGCCGCUUCAUCCAACAAUACCGCCAAACCAAAGUAUGACAUGCUGGUAAGCAGUAUGACUUAUAUCGCCCACAACUCACUUGUGUUCUACUCAUGCAUAUAACAUCAACACAUAAAACCUAGGCUCUGAUACCACUGUUGGGGAACGUAGUAAUUUCAAAAAAUUUCCUACGCACACGCAAGACCAUGGUGAUGCAUAGCAAUGAGAGGGGAGAGUGUUGUCCACGUACCCUCGUAGACCGAAAGCGGAAGCGUUAUAACAACGUGGUUGAUAUAUAUGAUGAUCGGGUGUGGUAAGCUCUACGUCCAUCUACAACGGGUGCAAGCCAGUUUUUGCACAUGCAGAAUACUCAGGUUAAACUUGACGAGCCUAGCAUAUACAGAUAUGGCCUCAGAACACUGAGACCGAAAGGUCGAGCGUGAAUCAUAUAGUAGAUAUGAUCAACAUAGCAAUGGUCACCAUUGAAAACUACUCCAUUUCACGUGAUGAUCGGUUAUGGUUUAGUUGAUUUGGAUCACGUAAUCACUUAGAAGAUUAGAGGGAUGUCUUUCUAAGUGGGAGUUCUUAAGUAAUAUGAUUAAUUGAACUUAAAUUUAUCAUGAACUUAGUACCUGAUAGUAUCUUGCUUGUUUAUGUUUGAUUGUAGAUAGAUGGCCCGUGCUAUUGUUCCAUUGAAUUUUAAUGCGUUCCUUGAGAAAGCAAAGUUGAAAGAUGAUGGUAGCAAUUACACAGAUUGGGUCCGUAACUUGAGGAUUAUUCUCAUUGCUGCACAGAAGAAUUACGUCCUGGAAGCACCGUUGGGUGCCAGGCCUGCUGCUGGAGCAACACCAGAUGUUAUGAACGUCUGGCAGAGCAAAGCUGAUGACUAGUCGAUAGUUUAGUGUGCCAUGCUUUACGGCUUAGAAUCGGGACUUCAACGACGUUUUGAACGUCAUGGAGCAUAUGAGAUGUUCCAGGAGUUGAAGUUAAUAUUUCAAGCAAAUGCCCAGAUUGAGAGAUAUGAAGUCUCCAAUAAGUUCUAUAGCUGCAAGAUGGAGGAGAACAGUUCUGUCAGUGAGCAUAUACUCAAAAUGUCUGGGUAUAAUAAUCACUUGAUUCAAUUGGGAGUUAAUCUUCCAGAUGAUUGCGUCAUUGAUAGAAUUCUCCAAUCACUGCCACCUAGCGGAACCUGGAUGCUCAUAUUGGCUCCCACGUAUUCUACGAAGAUCUUUAUCGGUCAGACCGCAUAACAACAUACGUUGUUCCCUUUGUCAUCAGUAUGUUACUUGCCCGAGAUUCGAUCGUCGGUAUCUCAAUACCUAGUUCAAUCUCGUUACCGUCAAGUCUCUUUACUCAUUACGUAAUACAUCAUCUCGCAACUAACUCAUUAGUUGCAAUGCUUGCAAGGCUUAUGUGAUGUGCAUUACCGAUAGGGCCCAGAGAUACCUCUCCGACAAUCGGAGUGACAAAUCCUAAUCUCGAAAUACGCCAACCCAACAUGUACCUUUGGAGACACCUGUAGAACUCCUUUAUAAUCACCCAGUUACGUUGUGACGUUUGGUAGCACACAAAGUGUUCCUCUGAAAAACGGGAGUUGCAUAAUCUCAUAGUCAUAGGAACAUGUAUAAGUCAUGAAGAAAGCAAUGGAAUGGGUCAUGUCAAUCACAUCAUUCUCCUAAUAAUGUGAUCCCGUUAAUCAAAUGACAACACAUGUCUAUGGUUAGGAAACAUAACGAUCUUUGAUUAAUGAGCUAGUCAAGUAGAGGCAUACUAGUGACGUUUAGUUUGUCUAUGUAUUCACACAAGUAUUAUGUUUCCGGAUAAUACAAUUCUAGCAUGAAUAAUAAACAUUUAUCAUGAUAUAAGGAAAUAAAAUAAUAACAUUAUUAUUGCCUAUUGGGCAUAUUUCCUUCAGCUGGUUCAUGUUCGUCUCCUACAUCGUCGUCCAUACCGUCGAUGUCUUCGGAGUCGAAGUCGAGCAUGUCGGUUAAGUCAUCGAUAGUGGCUACAAAGUGGGUGGUGGGUGGGCAUCGAAUUUCUUCAUCGUCCGCGUCCCCAUCCUGUUGGCCAUGAUCCGGCCAGGGCUCUCCUGACAAAGAGAGAGACCUUAGUGAAUUCAGAUGUCGCCGAAGGGCGAGUGCUGAAAGAUAUCCGCGACCGUGAAUUCCAUGAUCGGCGCCCAUUCGAAUUCGAUUGGCAGGGGCGCGGAUGGUUCGGGGUCCGGAAGAGAGUCCGGCACCUUGGAGUCAUGGGAUGCACAGAGAUUUAUGCUGGUGUUCAGCUCGAUCGCCGUUGAGACUGCAACCCCUGAGGCGGUGUCUAGCCACCCGUCCUCGAUUGGUGCAGUUGGCUCCGAGCUAAGGGUCGGAGCUGAUGCGGGCGCGGCCUCUGGAGUACUGUCCGGUGGCAAAGCUAGGUCAUACCCAUCGCGGUCGUGCGGCGCGCCCGGCUGUGGCUCGAAUUCGUCGAAGAUCAAGUCCCCACGGAUAUUGGUCGUGUAAUUCAAACUUCCAAAUCUGACUUGAUGGCCAGGAGCGUAGCUUUCGAUCUGCUCCAGAUGGCCAAGCGAAUUAGCCCGAAGUGCAAAGCCGCCGAAUACGAAGAUCUGUCCGGGGAGAAAAGUCUCACCCUGGACCGCAUCGCUAUCGAUGAUAGUAGGAGCCAUCAAGCCCAACGGUGACGACAUAGAGGAACUCUCAAUGAAAGCACCAAUGUCGGUGUCAAAACCGACGGAUCUCGGGUAGGGGGUCCCGAACUGUGCGUCUAGGCCGGAUGGUAACAGGAGACAAGGGACACGAAGUUUUACCCAGGUUCGGGCCCUCUUGAUGGAGGUAAACCCCUACGUCCUGCUUGAUUAAUAUUGAUGAUAUGGGUGCUACAAGAGUAGAUCUACCACGAGAUCAGAGAGGCUAAACCCUAGAAGCUAGCCUACGGUAUGAUUGUACGUUGUGAUUGUUGUCCUACGGACUAAAACCCUUCGGUUUAUAUAGACACUGGAGAUGGUUAGGGUUACACAAGGUCGGUUACAAAUGAGGAGAUAUCCAUAUAUGUAUUGCCUAGCUUGCCUUCCACGCCAAGUAGAGUCUCAUCCGGACACGAGACGAAGUCUUCAAUCUUGUAUCUUCAUAGUCUAACAGUCCGGCCAAUGGAGAUAGUCCAGCUAUCCGGAGACCCCCUAAUCCAGGACUCCCACACUCCCUCAUAGUAAUUUUCAGUAGCAUCAUGAAUGCAUUCAACAAUAUAACCAGCACCUAAAGCAUUCUUUUCAUGACCUACAAGCAUAGAAAUUUUAUUACUCUCCACAUAAGCAAAAUUCUUCUCAUUCGGAAUAGUGGGAGCAAACUCAACAAAAUAAUUAUCAUGUGAUUGAAAAUUAAGAUCAAGAUGACAAGUUUCAUGGUUAUCAUUAUUCUUUAAAGCAUACGUGUCAUCACAAUAAUCAUCAUAGAUGGGAGGCAUGCUUUCAUCAUAGUAAAUUUUCUCAUCAAAGCUUGGGGGACAAAAAAUAUCAUCUUCAUCAAACAUAGCUUCCCCAAGCUUGUGGCUUUGCAUAUCAUUAGCAUCAUGGAUAUUCAAGGAAUUCAUACUAACAACAUCGCAAUCAUGCCCAUCAUUCAAAUAUUUAGUGCCAAACAUUUUAAUGCAUUCUUCUUCUAACACUUGAGCACAAUUAUCGGAAUCCUUAUUUUCAUGAUAGAUAUUAAAAAGAUGAAGCAUAUGAGGUACCCUUAAUUCCAUUUUUUGGUAGUUUUCUUUAUAGACUAAACUAGUGAUAAAACAAGAAACUAAAAGACUCGAUUGCAAGAUCUAAAGAUAUACCUUCAAGCGCUAACCUCCCCGGCAACGGCCCCAGAAAAGAGCUUGAUGUCUACUACACAACCUUCUUCUUGUAGACGUUGUUGGGCCUCCAAGUGCAGAGGUUUGUAGGACAGUAGCAAAUUUCCCUCAAGUGAAUGACCUAAGGUUUAUCAAUCCGUAGGAGGUGUAGGAUGAAGAUGGUCUCUCUCAAGCAACCCUGCAACCAAAUAACAAAGAGUCUCUUGUGUCCCCAACACACCCAAUACAAUGGUAAAUUGUAUAGGUGCACUAGUUCGGCGAAGAGAUGGUGAUACAAGUGGUAUAUGGAUGGUAGAUAAAGGUUUUUGUAAUCUGAAAAUAUAAAAACAGCAAGGUAACUAAUGAUAAAAGUGAGCACAAAUGGUAUUGCAAUGCGUUGAAACAAGGCCUAGGGUUCAUACUUUCACUAGUGCAAGUUUCCUCAAUAAUAAUAACAUAAUUGGAUCACAUAACUAUCCCUCAACAUGCAACGAAGAGUCACUCCAAAGUCACUAAUAGCGGAGAACGAACGAAGAGAUUAUGGUAGGGUACGAAACCACCUCAAAGUUAUUCUUUCCAAUCAAUCCGUUAGGUUAUUCCUAUAAGUGUCACAAACAGCCCUAGAGUUCGUACUAGAAUAACACCUUAAGACACAAAUCAACAAAAACCCUAAUGUCACCUAGAUACUCCAAUGUCACCUCAAGUAUCCGUGGGUAUGAUUAUACGAUAUGCAUCACACAAUCUCAAAUUCAUCUAUUCAACCAACACAUAGAACCUCAAAGAGUGCCCCAAAGUUUCUACCGGAGAAUCACAACGAAAAUGUGUUCCAACCCCUAUGCAUAGGUUCAUGGGCGGAACCCGCAAGUUGAUCACCAAAACAUACAUCAAGUGAAUCACGUGAUAUCCCAUUGUCACCAUAGAUACGCACGGCAAGACAUACAUCAAGUGUUCUCAAAUCUUUAAAGACUCAAUCCGAUAAGAUAACUUCAAAGGGAAAACUCAAUCCAUUACAAAAGAGUAGAGGAGGGAUAAAACAUCAUAAGAUUCAACUAUAAUAGCAAAGCUCGCGAUAUAUCAAGAUCAUAUCACCUCAAGAACACGAGAGAGAGAGAGAGAUCAAACACAUAGCUGCUGGUACAUACCCUCAGCCCCGAGGGAGAACUACUCCCUCCUCGUCAUGGAGAGCACCGGGAUGAUGAAGAUGACCACCGGAGAGGGAUUGCCCCACUCUGCUGUGAAUUGGAUCCAGGGAGUACGUAAGCCUGUAAUUCUAGUUAGUUAAUUCAGCUUAGUAUUGGUGGAAAAUAUCUCCAAAACUUAUUUGUAACCUGUACAUACAUUUUAUAUUCAGCACAAACUCAACAGUCUGUAUUUGUCAGCUUCAAUUCUCCAUUCAUUAUACUAUUGCCUCUAUUUCAACCCUUGUCUUGGAAACACCGCAAAGUCCUCUGAUUUGAAUUGUCGAACUGUGGGGGUAACAGGGGGUUGCUACACAAACAAGAUAGCCCGCCGUCCAUCUAGGGACGGUUCUCACCGAGUAAACAAACACAACAGAGGAUAUCGGUUGUCCCUGCAUGCUUCCCUAAACAGGGAGAGCAAAGGUGGCAGGUUUCUAAACACAGUUCAUAUACUUCCAAAUUUGCCAAUACAAGACGAAUGCAUUUGCCGUGUGUGAACCAAGAGGAUUAUGAGUUAAUUAACAAAGAUUCAUUCAGCUUCUUCACUGAAGAGCUAGUUUCACAACUUCUUGCAUCGUGAUACCUCCCAUUCCUAGAGAAAUAACCAAUAAGAUAUCAAACAGGAUAAUUUGCAUCUUGCUUGAUACAUUCCACUUUAUUACAUGGAGAAGAAUAGGAACACCCCCUAAUGCUCAGUUGAUUCCUCUUCUCGGAUGAUGGAAACCAAGGAAUAUAUAUGAUGGACUAGGUGGAGAAAUCAAGUAGAGUGAUAGGUUUAGUGUAAAUCGACCUCAUUUGAUUUGAAGCACAGAGAAAUCGAGUCGAGUUCUUUUACAGUACCAUGAGUUUAAUAUGAGCCAUCCAUUUGUUCACAUCCAACGGGCGUGCUUAAAUGGCACUCCAUUGUAAGCACCGAGGAGUACUGCAGCCAAAUACCAAGGAGUACCUUAUUUCUGAGGGUAUAUUUGUCAUGUACAAGAGCUAGACUCAGAUCAAAAGUUCGAUGACUAGUAUGAUGCUACUCCGGCGGUCAGCUGUAGCGAGUUCUUCGAUCAUGCUCCAAUUUAUGCACCUGGCUGACUAGGCGGUCAACGCGACGAACGGCGGGCGUGCAGCUGCAGCGCUACGAGACGCGGGCGGCGUGCAUGCAGCGGCUUGGCGUGGAGCGGCGGGUCGGAUCGGAUAGCAGGCGACGAUUGCAAUGGAAUACGACAACAAGGACGUACACAAGCAGGCACACAGGCUGAUGGAUCCUUACGGGAAGCUAGCUUCUACGUACUAGUCAACACCUAGCAGCCACUUCUUUGAUCGAUCCGAUUGGCCGAAACAACACACGCGGGGCGGUCGAUGCUGGCGGGGCAGGGGAUGCUAGCGGGGCGGGCGGGGCUAGCAGGCGAGAAGAGCAGCACGGCAAGCGACUGGGCCAGAGGAGCGGCUCGGCGGGCGGCUAGGGGAUGGGAUCGGACGGGGCGGCCGGGGCGGUAGGGCGCGCGGCGGCGGCGGCGGCAGCGAGGAGACGCGGCGGCGGCGGCGGAAGCGAGAGACAAAACCUAGAAAACUGAUACCAUAUGGAUAGACAAUUUGCAAUACAAUGUAUUUAUUAUCGGGGUGCUGGUGCACGCAUAUAUAUUACAAGGUAAGACCUCUACCUCAACUAUACAAAACUAGAAGGUGGGCCACAAAUUCAAUACACGUGCAAUACACAAUACAUACUCAACAUUUAUGAUCAGCAAAUUACAGGGGCGUCCCAUUUGAUUUCAGUAAAGCUGGCAGAUUCGUUUAUAACAAAGGAGAAAGUUUUGAUUUCAGCAACGCCGGCAGAUUCGUUUAUAACAAAGGCGAGGGAUCUCAGAAACUGAGAUGGCGGCGGCUGAUUUGGGCGCUGAGGCGGCGCCGUAGACACAAAUUGAUUGGAUUAGGGUAAUCAAACCACCGCGUGAACUGUAAAAUAUCUCUAAUGCCCUCCAAUAUUAACGGCCGGAUUUAGUUGGUACUCCACAUAAGCCUUGGGGAGUACCAGGGUACCGUAAAAAGCGUCUUCUCUGUGACCAGUUUAAGCAAGGAAAAUCAACUCAUGUCUGACGUACUUUAUUGUCACUUUUUGCAGAAUUUGUAGCAUCUUCCUAUUGACUAUGUACAAUACUGGAAAGAUGAGACUAGUUUGAAGUAUGACCGUUCUGUUCUUAUUGCCCCACUCUGUUGUGCAUUGGAUCCAGAGAAUCCGUAAGCCUGUAAUUCUAGUUAGUUAAUUCAGCUUAGUAUUGGUGGAAAACAUCUCAAAACUUAUUUGUAACCUGUACUUACAUCUUAUAUUCAGCACAAACUGAACAGUUUAUAUUUGGGAAUUUGUCAGCUUUAAUUCUCCAUUCAUUAUCCUAUACCUCUGUUUCAACCCUUGUCUUGGAAACGCCCGUGAAGUCCUCUGAUAUGAAGUCUCGAACUGAAACCAAUUGGAUUUUGACUGCCGAAAGAAUCGUCCAUGACUUUCAUUCUACAUCUUGGCAAUAUGCAUGGCUCAAAUUCCUAAUACAAAGAAUAUGUUUUCUGUAAGCACAUGUCGAGACAGUCUAUUUUGCUACAAUUCUAGCUAGGUCAGAAGAAGAUGGCUUAUCAUCGCCUUUGAGCCAAGCCAACCAAAAAAUGAUAAAUUCAUAGUACUCCCUCCUGAUGGAAUCAAUGAGUGCACACCACGAAGCUUGAUUAUACAAGGCAAACCACAGGGUUGAUGACACGGACGAAGGGAAAGACUCAAGAACAUAUGGAUAACUAGAUCCAAACCACACAGUCAACAUGGUUUCAUACAAACCCCAAAAGAAAGAAGAACAAGGUGAGAGGGUUCCUCCCCAAGUUUUAAGACAAGCAUGUCUUGAGUUACGCAUGAAGAAUCUUCUCAACAAGAGGAGGUCUCCGAGUCUUCACCUUGUAAGUGGCAUUGCUCUCCAUGAAGAGCCAUCUCCAAAAUGGAGGAAUCCCACAAGGAGAGGGUUGAUGAGCUAAGCUCCAUCAAUAGUUCUAACGUUAUUACUUUUAAAGUUCAGGAUGAGGUGGUGGAAGAGUAUGUGUAGGUCCACCCACAAAGGGGUAAGUGGGAAGGGAAAGAUAUAUGGGUUGGGCCCAACUUCGUUGCAGGCACGGUCUGGUGCCUCCCUAGAGGUUCUUGGGGGGGGUGGGGGGGUGGGGUUGGGAAGGUGUGUAGCCUGGAGAAAUGGUUUGGCUCUGAGGCUCUGAGGUGGGUCGGUGACUCUGGGGCAUCUCGAGGCAGCUUUCAGGUUUUCUAGAGAGCUGACCGCAGAGCGGCAGUGGCAAGUUUCUAAACACGACACUAUUUAUAUGCUUUUAAAUGUGCCAACAACAUAACAGGAUGAAUGCAUUUGAAGUGUGUGAACCAAUAGGGUUAUGAGUUAAUUAACAUCCACUCUAUGAACUUCUUCACUGAAGAGCUAGUUUCACAACUUCUUGCAUCCUGAUACCUCCCAUGCCUAGGGAAAUAAUCAAUAAGGUGUUGAAUAGGACAAUUUGCUUGAUACAUUCCACUUUAUUACAUGAUAAAGAAUAAGAACCUACACCCCCUAAACCUCAGUUGAUUCAUCUUCUCUCCGACGAUGGAAAACGAGGCAUAUAUAUGAUCGACUGGGUAGAGAAAUCAGGUAGAGUGGUAGGGUUAGUUCGACCUCAAUUUGUUUUGUAGAAGCACAAAAUGAUGGGCCGCCAUAAAGAAGAGGGUUAGUACUCUACCAUAGAAGGAGUAAAUAGGGAAGCGUCAAGACUUAAUAAAUACUCAUCUCUUAUCAUUCUUCUCUACUCCCUCCGUUCCUAAAUGUAAGUCUUUCUAGAGAUUUCCAUAUAAACUACAUACGGAUGUAUAUAGACGCAUUUUAGAGUAUAGAUUCUCUCAUUUUGCUUUGUAUAUAGUCUAUAUUGAAAUCUUUAAAAAGACUUAUAUUUAAGAACGGAGGGAGUAUUUGCCAAAUCUUUGCGCCUAUAUCCUACUCCCUCCGUUCCAAAAUAGAUGACUCAAUUUUAUACUAAGUUAGUACAAAGUUGAGUCAUCUAUUUUGGAACGGAGGGAGUAGAAGUGAAGGUAAUCAUCCACAUCACUAUGUGGCCAGCCUGUCUCUGUGACCAGUUUCAGCAAGGAAAAUAAACUCAUUUCUGACGUACUUUAUUGCCACUUUGCAGAUUUUGUACAUUUUCCUAUUGACCAAGUACUGGACUGGAAAGAUGAGACUAAUAUGAAGUACAUCAGUUCUGUUCUUAUCGCCCGUUCUGCUGUGAAUUAGAUCCAGGGAAUACGUAAGCCUGGAAUACUAGUUAGUUAAUUCAGCUUAGUAUUGGUGAAAAACAUCUCCAAAACCUAUUUGUAACCUGUACGCACAUUUUAUAUUCAGCACAAGCUCAACAAUAUAUUACGGAAUUUGUCAGCUUCAAUUCCGCAUUCAUUAUAAUAUAACCUCUGUUUUAACCCUUGUCUUGGAAACAUCCAGAAAAUAUUCAAAAUUUGCUUGGUGUGACACCACCGAAUAUUCGAAAUAACUACAAAAUGAAAUCAAGAAAAUAUCAAACAUGUUGUUAAUUUUUCUCUCGAAUACGCAUAGCAUGCGUAUCUUGCAUUAAAGAGGGAGAAAAGGGGUACAAGAGCCCUCCGCCGAGGGUGUUACAACACACCCACUCCACCGUAUCAAGGGUACACACUACACCUCACCUCCGACCCACCUAUGUAUCCACCUAAAGAAGGAUUCCAAGUCCAACCGUAUGAGGCCGGCCGUCUUCCAAGCCCUACCCUCCGAAAGGAUCCUACCAAAGAGUCUAUUAAGCGAAGGGGAGUCGCCGUCAAACAUGAUCCCAUUCCGAUGUUUCCAGAGCUCCCAAAGGGAAAGGAUGAUGAUGGUCCGCGAGUCCCUCGCCGGCAUGCCGUCCCCUCCUAUGUUUACCAGCCAUGAUGGUAGCAUGUCGUCCUACGUUGGCGUCCACUCCGGCUUGCCCAGAGCCAUGCAAAUCUGCAGCCAAAAGGACCGGGAGAAGGCGCACUGAAGCAUGAUAUGGUUCAUCGUUUCAUCCUCCUGGUCGCAAAGCGGGCAAACCUCUUCAUGCGGCAGCCCCCUCCUGGCCAAACGAUCCGAGGUCCAACGGCGGUUCCGCACCACGAGCCAAGUGAAAAAACGGCACUGAAGGGGGGCCCGAUUUUCCCACGUUGUUGCCGCUGUCAGGACCACCUCACUGCCUGAGAACUUCGCCGUGUAAGCCGAGCUAGCAGAGUAGACCCCGCUCCUCUCCCAUGCCCACACGAUCCGGUCGUGCACUCCCUCCUGGAGUUGAUAUCCUUGAACCCGCUCCCACAGCACCAUAAACUGGAGGAGCGCCGGCCCCUCCAAAUUCGGACCCACGUACCGCGCCCACGCGCCAUUAGCUAAUGCCUCGUUGACGUGGAGUUGCCGGCGAACGCGUUUGGGAAUCCUGGAGUAGAUGGCCGGUGCAACUUCCCUGAUCCUGAAUCCUUCCAGCCACUUGUCCUCCCAGAACAAAGCCUGUCUACCGUCUCCGACCGUCGUGUGCAUCGCCGCGUUGCAUAGCUACCUAGCUGCUUUUGGCACCGAUAUGGUGAACUCAUUCCAUGGUCUCGAGAUACGCAUAUAUAACCGAUAAAGACUAGAGAUACUAGUACAUUAGUGUGUACUAGAGUUUUAGUUCAGCAGCAUCAUGUCCCAACAGUUGCAAUGCACAAGCGUGUGUGGAUAUACGCCUUUUCUUCCCAGUGAUAUGUUGUAGUUGGACGGAUGAGGUCUCUUCAGCAAUCACUUCAGCACUUGAAUUUGCACACCCCUUUUGAAACGUAUUGUUGGUCACAAGCACGCUCAUGCAUCCAAUCCAAUGACUAAUUUGUACAGCAUCCGUCCAAAAACAAAGGUAUAAAAUCACAAGGAAUCUUUUGAUUAACUGCAGAGGUUAAAAGACCAGAGAAUGUUCACAUAAUUAACUCAUCAUAGCUACUAAUGCAUCCAGCAUCCAUGCUUAGCACAUUUUUUAUUGUUCUUACUGAAAGUGAGAGGUAUAACAGACAACCUACUUCUGGAAGGGUUGUAAAAUAUGAAGGUCAUUUCCAAGCAUAUACCCACAAAAAGGACAUGUUACUUAAUUACUUCCAGUCCUACUCAUCUUUGUAGUCACAGCAGGCCUGAAGUUAUGGCUGUCCUUGCAUUUCCUUCAUCUCAGCCAGCUUGCCUUUGCAACUUGCAAGCGUCAUAUGCUACUACACUGGAAAGGGCAUGGGCUGGUGAAGUACUAGUAACUACUCCCUUAAAGUUAGUACAAAGUUGAGUCAUUUAUUUUGGAACGGAUAAAGUACUCCUCCCGUCCCAAAAUUUUUGUCUUAAAUUUAUCUAGAUACGGAUGUAUCUAAUAUUAAAAAUGUGACUUGAUACAUCCAUAUUUAGACAAAUCUAAGACAAGAAUUUUUGGACGGAGGAAGUAAUAUGAAAAGGUGUGAUAUCUUGCAAGACUCUCCCAAAGUGAGCUUACAAGGGGGUUGAUGAGCAUGGAAAAAAAAAUAAGCUACCAGCUGAGAGCAUGUGCUGUAAUGUGGCAUUACGCUACAGAAUGAACCUCUUCACAAAAUGAAAAUUGUAGUGCCCAACACAAAUUUUCCAAAUUAUGAGUUUAAACAAAACUGCAGUAAUUUUCUUCCCGUGCCCGCGACCCACUCCCGACCCCGAAACCCUCACCGCCGCCACCUUCCCCUGCCCGUCUUCGGCGGGAUCCGGCCGCCCUCACCGGCGUGCGGCCCGGAUCCCCCCUUCCCCCGCCCUUCCUUCCCCGCCCUCCUUCCGCCCUCGCGCCGCCUCCCCGGGAGGCGGCCGGGGCGGCCCCCGCGCUUAGGCUCUCGGCUCCGCCCCCUCUUCCUCUCCCCUGCCGUCACCGGGGGGCGCCCCUGGCUCUGGCCCGGGGGGUGCCGGCGGUGGCAGGAUCUCCUCUCCCCGCGCGCGCGUCCUCCUAGCCCGGGGCAGGGGGGCGGCGGCGGUGUCUCUCGGCUUGGCGGCGGUCCGGUGACCCGGCGGGGUGGCCGGCGGUGGAUGUGGUGGCGGCGCUGCUCCUUGGUGGUGGGGCGGCAUGGUGGUGCUGGGUGGCCGAUGUUGCGCCCCCGGCCCAGAUCUGGGCCCGGCGGGGCCCAUCUGGGUCCUAGCGGGUUGGCCCCCCGGCGUGGCCUCGUUGUCUGUGGCGCGGUGAGGAGGAGGAGCGGCUUGGAUAUGGGGAGUCGGUGCCGAUGGCGUGCCGGCAACAGUGGGAAGGCGGGAGCUUUACGGGCCCACGAGGGCUCGGCCGGGCCUGUGGGCCCACGGGCCGGGUGUGCUCCUACUAUUGCAUCUGGACGGCUACCGUCGCUGACGGUGGAGGUGGGGCCCUCCCGCAUGCUGACGGUGCUGAUGCCCUAGUCCCGGCUCUGAUCCUUCGCCGCGUUGUCCUCACUUCGUGGUGCCGUGUUGAGACGGCAUGGGGGCCUCUUGACCGCGUUGGCGCAGGGUGGUGGUUGGUUUGGUGGCUGGAUCCGUAGCGCCCGAGGUGCGGGUUGGGAUCGGGGGAAACCCCUGUCGGCGUGGCCGACACCGGCGCUGUGGCGCCUGUGGGUGCCACCUGACCUUCCGGGAGGGCGUCAGGGCUACCCUUCCUCUCGCCUCAUCGUGUACCGGGGGAAACCCUUGCAGCAGCGUCGUCAUCGUCGCGAUCCUUCUGAGGUGUUGAUAGGUGCCGGCGCUUCGGAGUCUUGGAGCCUAGUGGAAGAUCUCGGUGGGCGUAGCGAUCGCGAGGCUUCUUCGUUUUUGUUGAUCUGCCGUUGUCGGCAUUUGUUUCUUUUUCUCUUUCUUUGUCGUUUCUUUUGGGCGUGACUGUGCUGCUUCCGCCCCGGUACCUAUCCUUGUAUGGUUCGGCUGGUUGCUUUGUAUACAAAGCGGGGAACCCUUUUUCGGUUAUAAAACUGCAGUCCUCACUUUGAGUUACCUUUACUUCCUCGAGAGAACUAUAUCAAAGUUUAAGCAUAUGCAUCAUAGGCAGUCAAAUGGAUAUAUUUUCGUGGUACACCAUGUGUAUGUCCUCAAGAUACUGAGAUGUAUACUAUCUGUAGUAGGGAACGCUGGGGAGGAUCUCGAUGACUGCUUGUGCACGAAAACGUAGCUACCGUACUCCGGAAAGCGCAGGAGUUCGCUGAUGUCAUCCCCACUUCACAGUCAUCACCGUCCUCUGGUGCUGGCUCUGGUUCGUCCCCGGCAUCGCUCACAGGUGGCGUCGUGCGCAUGAAGACGCAGACCCUCUAACCCGCUGGCCGUAUAUGGCUACUACAUUGUGAUCCUCCAUCUCCCGCUUAUAGCUUUCAUCAUGGUAAGACAAGGAGGAGGCGGGAGUAUUGGAGAAUGGAGUAGUGCUUGGUGCCGCGGUCGCUCGUUCAGCUCGCAGUCGUCCAAUGUGACUCAUUGCAAAUCCAUCGAGAUGUGUACAGUGUGAGUAAACCACGAUCAGCAAGCUGCCGUCCUUGUUGCUACCUCUCUCCCGAGUCCCGAUACCUAUCACUCCCAUCCAAUGGACAGCCAAAGAAACACAAAAGAGAAAAAGAACGAACCUACCAUCAUCGUUAAUUCUUCCAAUGCUAGGAAAUUGACAUUGCAAAAAAGACGUUGGGGCAUGAAGGGAGGCUGUGUAAACAUGUAAGUGGUAGCUGCCUGUACUUAAAUCCUUUUUGUAAUGAAGGUGACAGAUCUGAUGACAUGGAGAGCAUGGGUCACGUUCACGUACAAUAUUAGGUCGGGAGAGUUAUUCCAAUUGUUGGUUCAAAAUAUGAGUGGUUACCUUUAAUUGGCCUGAAUCCUUUUCUAUAAUUAAUGAGCAUUUUCUAAAACAUAUGAACACCUCUUUCAAUUACAUUAUUUUUUUGAAAAUAUGUGAACACUUUUUUAUUCACAUGAACAUUUUGUAAAUUACAUGUUCUUCGGAUUUUGAUAUCUUGCAAUUAAGUGACUAAUAAUUUGUCUUAGCGGCAUUCAGGUCAUUCCAACGUUUCUUGUCAGGCGAGGAACUAUCAUGUGCAACUUGUCCUUGUUUGCAAGACGUUUGCAUUUUUGUGGCUUUGCAAGAUGCGGAUUGUUGCAUUCCCAUACUAUGCCAACAAACUGAAACCAGAAAUUGUUGACAACCAGGGCAAAUAUGCCCAUAUUAUUGUUGCAAGGAUUUUUCCUUUUCUUUUUUGUUGUUUCAGCAAACAAGCAGAGAUAACUCAGAUGAUACUCAAACACAAGUUCAUUUUACCCUGGUAAUUACUCUUUUUUGACAAAGAAAACAUAGGACACGUCACUGGCGCCGCAAGCUAACCCGUAUUAUAUUAGCGGCCGCCAGCGAAGAUCUGGAUGACAACCUGUGCACGGAAAUGUAGCUAGAGUGUAGGUGCGGUGCCACGCUCUCGGUCUCGCCCACAACUCCACUCCGUGUCUGUGUCCAAUGCCCUCACCUCUAGCGUUGUUGUCAUGGUGUCCGGCUCGACCGUCGCCGCCGUCCUAUGGAGGUCCUCGUUGCAUGCCCCCGCGUUGGUAGUUAGGGCUCACAUGCGCAAGUGACAGGGACGGGGGACCCUCCAGCCCAAUGGUCGGCUGGUCGUAGUCCGUCUGUUCCUCACCGUCCUUCAUCUCUACCCUAUCGAUGUACUCAUUGCACGAUGAGGAGGAGGCGGGAGUCAUGGAGAAUGUAGUACUGCUCGGCCUUGUGGUAGCUGUCGGUCGUUUCCACUCGUCCACGAUCAUUCAUAGCGAAUCAAGACUUGUACACCCUGAGUGAACCACAAUCAGACGCAUGCCAUUAUUGUCUACCUCUUUGACUCUCUCCCGAUACCUAUCACUCCUACCCAAUGGCUAGGCUGCUGAGAUAGCGAGCGAAAAGUGCUAGUUCUUCCAACGCUGGGAAAGUGACAUCUCAAAGAUAUGCUCGAAGGGAAGCGAGGGUGUGUAAAUAUGUAGGCAGUAGUAAAACUCGAAAAUUUAUGUAAUAAAGGUGAGAGAUUGCAUGACAUGGAUAGCAUAGAUUACGUACGAUGUUAGGUGCCGAGAGUUAUUUUUUGCAGGUUUAAAAUAUGAAUAGUUCAAAAUUACAACUUCACUUCUCUUAAGAACUACUAGCUUCCUUUUUUACCGAAGCGUACAUGCAUGCAUGUUUUAAGGAGAAGAGGCUUUGAUUUUGCUCUUUGUAUGCCUCUUGUAACAUGCAUGUACUACAAAGUUGUGUGUAAGAGCCAAGUUAUGAGUAAAUUGAAAAUAAUAGUAAACAAAUUUUAAAAAUUCUGAUUUUGUGUGGACGUUCAUGUUAGUCUAACAAGCAUGCAUGGUAAUUUUCAUGUGAAAUGGGAUACCAAUGCUUUGUUAGGGAAAAAGCAAAAUUAAGUGUAACAUUAGACGUCUGAUUUGUUUUUUUCCCACAGGUCAUAACACUUAAGCUUUUCUACCAAAAAUUUGCAGGUAGUAUUUGGGGUGUGACUAUGAACACAUCUAAUUUUUUCAUUUUUUUAACAUUUGCAAACAACAUUUUUGACAGGUAGGAGCAAAUGCUCUAAAGAGCUGAAUUGGAUUUCUGAUGUUAUACUAGUGAAAAAACAGGCUAGAACGAAGGGAGUAUAAAAAUGUAGUUCUUGGAACUUUCAGUACUCUGAUCAAGCAAUCAUAAUAAUCCAUUUAUAAGAAAUCCACCUCUUUCAUUCAUCCCUAUGGGUCGUUGUCAUAGUCAUUCACUACUAUUGGGAUGUCAUGGCCACCUAAGGGUGUCUUCGUAAUGGGCUGCCACCGACGAGAUGCGGCGACCACCUACAGCCUGCGACGAGGUUGUAAUUGUGUGAUGCACACUGUGAUCUUGAAAUUUCAAAAUCGUUAGGUCACGAGGGAUCUUGAUUUUUCAUAUUGUACUUAUUAGCUAAUUCUAUUUAUUUCCUCAUGAAAUGAUAUCAGGCACAUUUUGUGAAGCAGGUUCUUUCCGUGAACGAAGACAGAGGAAUAGAAACGGUUCAGCUGUGUGAACCAUGGGAAGGCUAGCAAAAUGUAUUGUUGGAGGCACGUUUGUAGAGCUUUGCUACAAUGAGGACACCACACUGAGAAGAUGAAAGCCUUCAUUAUUCGUAUCUAGAAAAGAUAUGAGGUUGUAAUUUACCAAUUAAUGAAAAUUAAACAAAGGCACUUAUCCCAUAAAUGAAGGAAAUCAUCGACAUUGCUUAGGUGGCAAGCCUUCCUCCGUGACCAGUUUCAGCAAGGGAAAAUCAUCUCAUUUCUGACAUACUUUAUUGUCAACUUUUUGCAGAAUUUCUAGCAUUUUCCUAUUGACCAAGUACCGGACUGGAAAGAUGAGACUAGUGUGAAGUACAUCCGUUAUGUUCUUAUUGCCCUACUCUGUUGUGAAUCGGGUCCAGGGAGUCCGUAAGCCAGUAAUUCUAGUUAGUUGAUUCAGCUUAGUAUUGGUGGAAAAUAUCUCCAAAACUUAUUUGUAACCUGUACGCGCAUUUUAUAUUCAUCACAAACUCAACAGUCUAUAUUUGGGAAUUUGUCAGCUUCAAUUCUCCAUUCAUUAUACUAUAGCCUCUGUUUCAACCCUUGUCCUGGAAACACCGCGAAGUCUUCUGAUUUGAAUUCUUGAACUGAAAACAAUUGGAUUUUGACAUGUGCUGACUACAAUCGUACAUGACCUCCAUUCUACGUCUUGUCAAUGUGCAUGUCUCAAACUGCCAAUACAAAGAAUACAUUUAUGUAAGAACAUGAUGAGACGGUCUAUUUCGGUACAACUCUAGAUAGGCCAGAAAUCGUUGGAUCAUCAUCACCUCCUAGCCAAGCUAACAACAGAAUGACAAAUCCAUAGUACUCGCCCCCGAUCGAAUCAGCAAACGUACACCAUGAAACUUGGCAAACCGCAAGGGUUGUUCAAUGACAUGUACAAAGGGGAAAACUCAAGAACCCAUGAAUAACUAGAUCCAAACCACACGGUCAACGUGGUUUCUUAAAUACUCCAAAAGAAAAGAAGAACAAGGUGAGAGGGUUCUUCCCCAAGUUUUAAGACAAGCAAGUCUUCAGUUCCACAUGGAUAAUCUUCUCCACAUGAGGAGGUCUCGAGUCUUCACUUUGUACGUGGCCUUGCUCUCCAUGAAUAGCCAUCUCCACAACCACAAUGGAGGAAUCCCACAAGGAGACGGUAGAUGAAUUAAGCCCUACGCAAGAUAGCUACCCUGGAGAGGAGGUGGGGGAAGAAUAUGUAUAGGUCCACCCAUGAAGGGGUAGGUUGCAAGGGAAAGAUACAUGGGUUGGGGCCGACACAGUUUGGUGGCUCCAGGUUGAGCCAGAGGUUUGGGGCCGAAGACUACCGGGCAUCUCUGGGCAGCCUUCUGGAUUUCUAGAGAGCUGACCCAGAGUUUUCAUCGCAAGCUUCAGAGUACAGUUGGGUCAAACUUUUGUCUUCCUCGUGCUUUGCCUCCAGGGAGACAUGUUCGUGCUUUGUGCCAUCGUCUUAACGGUUUCUUCCCUGCUUCCCUCUUGGAUGUAAUAGGCGUCUUGUGUUUUUUUUGAAAUGUCAUUGGGGCGGCGGGACGGGGGGUGAUUCCCCACUUGAAUAUAUUCCACAAAAGGGGCAGAUGAGAUGUUGUACAACAUAGAUAAAGAGAAAUAGAGGGAGGGGUUUUUUUUCCGAUAAAGGGUGAAUUUUAUUGACUCAAAGUGAAGCAUCAAGAGGAUACAAACAAAUGAGUACACACCCGGUCUCUGCAUAGCAAAGAUGCACACAGCCAACACCAACGCACGCACACAAAACAAACCGACAAAUAGCGAAGUCAUACUAGACCAAAGCUAUGCGUAGGCGAGGAAAAAAAAGAAAAAAGCCCCAAAGCGACCAGAUCACGAUCGGCAAACUAUAACAAUGACCAUAUCUGCACCGACAAUCUCAUGACACCACGCGGACGACGACAUUCUUCAACAGCAACGCCUUAAGGAAGGAAGCGACACUCAAGUGUCAUCGUCACCGGAUCCAGCCAUCCAAGACUAGAAUCUAGGUUUUCACCCUGAAGAAUCAGUCCGAGCAUUCCGAACAAUGCCUUCAACAAGGUAACGAUGUAAAAAUAUCGCCAUUGUCAGGUAUACCCAACACGGGCGAGACCAAGGCUUUCACCCCGGAGCUCUAGACUGGGUGCUCAAGUAGCACCACCAUCGAGGUCAUUCAUGUGUUGUCGCCACCACUUUUCCACGAUCCUAGUAGCUACAGGCGAUCUGCCCGCCGCUACCGCACAACAAUCCCUCUGCAUCAAGACAUCGUCCACAGUUUGCAUUUCGCCGCCGAAGUCAGCCAUCACAUCUGCAGAGAUGAAACUCUCAUAAACUUUUGAUGGAGGCCAUAAUCCACGGCGAGGCCGCCGCUGUCCCAGAUCCGAUCUCCCAUGACAUAGUCCUAGGUGGACACCAACAGCCAGCACCAUGGGUUGUAGCUAGCCGGCAACCUGGGCGGCCGCCGAUCAUGUGCAUGCAUGUCCACGCAUGUGUAUGCAUAUGCCUCCAUGCACCAGCCCCGUGUGCUUCCCCUGAUCAUACUCCAAGCCAUAGAGAUCAUCCAGAUCGCAGCCUGAAUCACCAGUUAGCUGCCAGAUCUGAAAAGAUCGGGAAACUAGCAACAUGGGACGACGACGGCCAGAUCGGGAGACACCAUGCCAUGGACAGAUCAGGAAGCGAGCGGCAUGGGACAACGAC